UCCAAAAUUGUGGCCCAACACGGCCCAGGACUUCGGGCCGGCCCGAUCCGGCACGGAUGUUAGAGUAUCCGUGCCGUGCUGUGGCCCGGCCCGAGGCCGUGCCGGGCCUGGCGGCCCACGUGCCGCUCGGCUGUUUUACAUCCCUACUUUUAGGAGAGAAAUUUUCCUGUACUUUAUUUGACAGUUCAUAAAUGCUUUAGAGACCUCUUUUUUUUCUUUUUUGCCUCGUACUGAGACAAUUCCUCCAAAAUUUUUAUUUUAUUUUUUUAACGUGAAUCUCUUUUGGAACGUCGGAACGUGCCAACCUUGUACUCCUUGGAAAAGAUUAAAGAAGCCCAAGCAAUUACUUACCACAGACAACAAACACCUACAGCUAAAAAGGUGCAAUUUUAAUUGCUUUAGGAAGCAAGGUAGACAAGCAAACACUGUACGAGGAUUCAACAAUAAACUAAGAUUAAUUAUUGAAGUUUACUUUCAAAAAUCUUACUUUAAAAAAGAUAGAUUAUUGCAGAAAAUAUCACUAUCUUGAAGAAGCCAUAUUUGUGCUACAUAUUUGUGCUAUUCAUAUGUGAGUUAUCUAUGAAGACACAAUCUUAAUAUUUUAACGAGGGAUGGUGGAACACCAAUUAUCACAUCUAAUAUAUAUAUAUAAAAAAAUCCAAAGCAAUCAAGCAAAGAUUUAAUAAACUUCUGGAAAAAACAAAACACUGCCUUGUUUGAAACAAAACCAAAUUAUGGGGACUUCAUCCCCAACUCCAGGUUCACUUUCUGCCCUGAAAACAAACUUCAUCCAGAUUAACUAUUCCUUCAAUAGAUUUGAAUUUUGCGAAAAUCUAACAGGAAAUACAAGUAGAACCAAAACCUUUUGGCUACAAAAAAAGCACGCGAAUAGAAUCUCAGUAGAGUGCCCGAAAAGAACUUCAAGAGGACAUCUCAGUGAAUAAGAAUAGCAUAGGAAUGAAACUGGAAAUUCUCAUUGCUUAAAGGAUGUCGAUUUUGUCUACAAAAGAACAGGAAGGCAAAUGAUAAAUGAAUAAAACUUGAAAAACAUUUGUAAACUAACAGUAGGUGAUAUUGCUUCAAAGGGCAUCAGCUCAUAAAAGAAAAAACUUUGCAAUUCAUCUAAGCGGGAAUUGUCUCGGGCAUCGUCUCAGCUGGGAAAUCUUGAUAUCCUGUUAUCCCUGUGAUCUUUAUCCUUGUGUUUGGCUGCAAAUGUUAUUUUGUUAUUUUAUUAGUUGUAAAAUAAUUUCACAGGAUACGCAACUAAAUGGGUACUAUUUAUGCUCGUUUGUAUCUGCUCUCUUUUGUAAGACUAAGAUAUUGACAAAUUAUUGUCAGGAACAAAAAAAUUUUAAAAACAAAUUAAGCAUAGAAGAUUGAUAAAUUUAGAAAAUUUAUGGAAGUACAUUCAGAAGGAACAGGAAAAUAUCUUGAAAAGAGAAUGACGAGGAACAAAGUCAAAUUAAGAGUAGGAAAGUGAAGAAAAGCAUAAUAGAAACAAGCUUUAAUCUUAUGAAGACAAGCAUUAAUAUUAUGAAAUGCACAACACCAAAAUUGAAAAGUUUAAAGUAUUGUUAAUAAUCAUAAAAAGUUGAUGCAUAUAGAAAUUUUACGUUUGUGCGUUCUCAUCAGGAAGAAGACAGUGAAAAGACCACAAAGAGAGUGCAAGCCAAAAAGAAAGAUAGCAUCCCUCAGAAUUGCAGCACAUUUUAUAAAGACUCAGACCGAGUUACUUAGCUUCACAUAUAGGUCUUAUUGAAUACCUGUCGAUGGCCAAUUGUCCUUCGAUAGUUCUUCUUCUUCUUGUAUUUGAAUAUUAUCACUUUAGGAUCAAGUCCCUGAGAAAGAAAAUUUCGAGAAUUAGAAACAAUGUCAAGCAGUUAAAACACAUGUAAGGUUUUCUCCAGCAGCUAGAAAGAAAAGUACCUGUUCUUCAACCACCGCAUGUACGGCAGCAUUGGUAACAACUGGUUGGCCAAUAUAAGCCUUUGUUCGAGUUCCAACGAGUAAUACUUUGUUCAAUAUAAUCUGCACAUUCAGUGUUAUUAUAGGGCCAAAACAGUGACUACUUUCAUUUCUAAGCACAAAAAUACAUCUACUGAUUGAGACAAGCUCCUCAAAGAUAUUUGAGUUUCAUUAAGAGGAGCCAAAAGUACAUAUCAGAUUUCAAAUUGUCCACCGAUACUGUAACAGAUUGUGACGCUCCAAUAGUUCCAUAUUGGAUAGAGAAUGGAGUAUGCAUGGGUAUAUAAACACAGGUUCAUCAGUAUGCGUAACUUGGGCUUGUUCUUUGCCCCAUCCCCAGUAGCCAUCAUCUCAACCCAAACAUAGUCCACACCUUAGGAUAUAAAACAGUUGCAGAGCUCCUAAAUUCUUGAGUUGGUGUUUAGUUUAGUUCUUCGCCUCAUCCACAAAGUACAUAGUAAUGUAGCAAUCGUCACAACACAUUAAAAUCAGCCAAAUUGGCUGUAGUAAGUGCACAAGUUGAGAAUUCUGAACGAGCUACAUUUCCAGACUUUAGACACCCUUUGAAAAGGCAAUACAGUGAAUACUCCCCCUUUUUCUGAUAAAGGUAAGAAGAAACAUCAAAAUUUACUAUCCCUCAAAUUAUCCCCAGUAAGCAGUAGUCCCCUUAAGUAUCACAAUCAUUAGUUAUCAUUACAGUUACCCCUGCAAUCAUUACAGUUCUCCUUAUGAUGAAAAGGUAAACAAAAAAAAAAAAGAUUGAUCUCUGUAUCACAGGAUGCGGCCAUAGCAGGGCAACUUGGAGGGUGAGGAAUUUUUUCCCAACCAAAUGUACCCACAGAUAUAGAUUCCUUACAGGUCGAAUGAAGAUAGAAAAUAAUAAAUCUAGCUGACAAUUAUUUACUUAAGUUUCGUAAUUACUUCUGAGUUCAUUUUAUCAUGUAAUAUUCUAUAUUGUUGUCAGAAAAUCCUUUUUACUACACUGUAUUCUUUUCAUUUUGCGCUGAGAAAUAUAUUUUGCGAUGACAUCUCAUAACCUUUCAUGUAGAAAUCACAUAGCCAAGCAGCCAUAUUAUACAGGCAAUCAAAUGUGUACUCUUCUAAUGAAUCUUCAAUGAAUAAAAGAUUGCAUCAACCCUUAACAGUAAUCCGGAACUAACAUAAAUGAAGAAAUUCAAACUGACAACGAAAAGAAGUACACGAAAACAAAACCAGGAAAGAUUGACAGAUUUCUUCUGACCUUAUCAUUAACAUUGGCGCCCUUCAACCUCUGGGUAUAAAUAUACCGCCCAGGAAACACGAUGUAUUGCCGCGACCCAAUCUGUAAUAAUGAAGGAUAAUUAUUAUUAUUACAAAUCAGCAAACUCUUAUUUGUCAAUAGCAAAAAAAAAAAAAAAGGAAAAUUGUCAACAUAUACCUGUAAAAUAGUGGAAUUGAGCAUUUAUCCCUCAAACUUUAUAGAUAUCAAAAAAUUUGAUUUAUUAAAAGUGAAUUUUGGUCAUUUUCAAUCUCUAACCUCCCUAUUCUAUAUCUAGUGUCAUUUUAUGUGACUCCAAAUCCUCAACCCUGAAAAAAUAUAUUAAUUGUCAAGGGCGUAACAUUCCAAACAGUGAAAAUUUAACAGUCAAACUGAAUGGCAGAAAAAUUUGCAAAGUUUUAGAAUUUAAAGGGAUACAAAUCCAAAUUAACAACUUUAUAGAUAAAUGCGCGAAAAAAAAAUGUUGCAAGGAAUAUGUAUGCGAAUGCUCCCAAUAUAUAUGAGGCAAUUAACUGAAAAAGAAAAAAAAAAAAUCAUGUAAACAAUCCAACUCUUAGCUCACCAUAACCACCGCAAACACGUCCUCGCCCUUCGCCGCCUCUCCGGCGGUGGAGGCCUCGAUCUGGGCUUCAACGGGCUCCGGCAUUUGAACCUCCGUAGGGGCCGGCGUAGACUCCUCGGAAGAAGCAAAGAGCUUCCAUUUUCGCGAGAGAAUAGAAGCGCGGGGAGAGGAGUCUGUGAGACACGAGAACAAUCGUGGUUUGGGGAGAGAGACGAAGGGGGGAGAGGCUAGGGUUAGGGUUUGGGCACGGCUGGGGACGGAGAUGCGGGACGGAGCGGAGGCGGCGGGGCCGAGAGCCGAAGCCAUGGGCGAAGGAUUUGAAGCUUGUGAGAAUGGCGCAGGAUAAAUGGAUAAGAGGACGGAGACGUCGGAGAGUGUAGAGAGAGUCGAGAAUUGGAUCUGGGUACAAAAACGGGUCGGGUCCGUAUCGGGCCGGAUUAGUGGGUCGGUCCAAAACCAGUAAAUAGGCCGGACCAGAUUUGGGCUGGACCUAGCCCAAUCAGUAGUAUAUACAAGCUAGAUUUUUUUUCUUUGGGGGGUGGUGGAAACCUUAGUAACUUAGUUGGGCCUAAUCUUAUGAAUCUCAAACCUGCUGUUUGAACCUUGGGCGUAAAUUGAGGAUAGUCCAACUACUAAUGCCUACUAUGGCCUAGUUUCGUAAAUGUAGUGGUUAAAGCUGUCCAAAAUACCCAGUAUACCGUACCUAUUUUGGACCCGAUAAAAAAGAUAGUAUAUAAGUAAAAAAAAAAAAAAAUCUAAAGUUUCGAGUAUGGGUCCAGAUACUUCAUACCCAUAUCCGACUUGGAUCAGACUAGAACCCGACCUUUUAAUGGGUAGGAUCUGAAAGAGUUUUCAAAUCUAAACCCGAAACCGAACUUGGACUUGGACUCAGUGAAUUACCCGAUAGUAAAUAAAAAAAAUUUGAAGUUGAGGAAGCAAUUUCAAUAUAACUUAUAAAUGAAAGGUCUCUGUAUAUUUUCAUUCUAAUGAAAAUCCUAGUCUCUUUGUUUGCUCUUUUUUUUAAUUUUAUUUUACUCCUUUUUUUUUCAAUUCUAGCUAUUUACUACUUGAAUCUCUUUUUUUGAACGAAUUUUAUUGCACUGGGUGCAACUAAUUAGAACGUGAAUUUUUUUAUAAUGAUAGGUUUAUGGUUUGUCUAUAAACCGUUUAAUAAAAUUUAUAAAAAAUAUAUGCAUACGAGUACUCGUAUCCGAUCUAGAUCCAACCUGUAUUCCACCCAUACCCAGUCUAAUUUCGUCACUGCACAAUCAAACUAUUUUUAAAAAGGUCUAGUUUAGUUCUCAUCCUGUUCUUGGUUAUGCACAAAAAGUCAUUUGGCAAUCUCCAACUUUAUACCUCAUGCUGUGACCAAAAGUAAAAAUGCGGUUUCAAAUCACGAAAACAAAAUCUUCUAAUUCCAUUGCAGAAACCAAAGAAAAAAGAUCCAAUCAGCCGGAUGAAAUUUAAUGUAAUAUUAUUUACAUUUGUUCAUUUUUUUUAAAUAAUCAAAUUAGAAAUAACUAAGUACUUAUUUGGCCUAACUACUUUGCUAAAAGAGCCUUUAUUAUGACAUAUGACAAGAAGUUAUAAUAAACUCCUAAGAUCAAAAAAUAAAAAGUGUUAGAGAGUAAAGGCUUCUGGUUAAAGUGGGGACCUGAUGAUUCACAUUCAUAGCAUUCUUUUGCCCAUUCUUUCUUUUUAGCAUAAAUUUGAGAAAUGUUAACCAAUUUUUUUUUUUUUUUACCAGGAGAUUAAAGUGAUCAAUAAUUAUUCUCCUCUCGUCAUCUUCUUCAUGAGACCUGAGACAUUUUCUUAUUUUCUGUUUGACCUUCAUCUCUUUACCAAUCUCGUUCAUAAUGACUAGUCGACAUUGAUUUGAUAUCUACAUAUCUUGCCUCUUCUGGCAACAAAGCUAUGCACUUUUCACAAGCUUCUACUUUUGGCAUUCUAUUGGGUUUUUUUUUUUUUUUUCUUUUUACAUUACAUUACAUUACAUUAUUAUACCAUGUCAUACUCCCCGUAAAAAAAUAUAUAUAUCUAAAAUAAGGCCGUGGCAUUACAUCAUUCAUGUUUCCAAUGAAUUAAAUUAUAUUUAUGAAGUUCAUCCAUCCUAUUAUAAUAUUUUUUUAAAAAAUAUUAUAUUUUUAUUUAAAAUAAAAAAAAUUAAUAGAUUAAGACAUAGAUAAUGUGAUACCUUUGCUACUGCUACAUAGAAGACCAACUUCAUCAUCAAGGUGCGUGCUUUUUUUUUUUUUCUUUUAAGAAAGGUAGCAUCAAUUUGUUUCAUUUGUGUUUUUUAAGAAAUGAACUAUGUUACAAAAUGUAAAAUAAUUGAGCUUUGAAUUUAAAAUAUUGGACACUAAUUAUUAGAUUUUUAGCCAACUGCAUUAGAUACAAUCGAUAGUGCAUGCGUUUGUUGGCAUUGAAUUUUUUGGGAUGAUAAAAUGUUCUUUGUUCUUUUGCAAGGGCUCACAUUUAGCCAAAAAAAUAAAAUAAUCUCGAGUUAAUUGGGAAUUUUUAAUUGCGUUAAAGAAAUUUGUUGAAAAAAAUAAUAAUAUAACUAUAUAUUUUCUAGCGUUAAUUUUAUACAACUUCUUGUAAAUAUGACGAAUUACAAAUAUAUCCCUACAAAGUUCAAAUUUCUAUAUUAUUUCUGCAAAAGACUUAAUAUUUUUAAAUAUACCCAUGCCGUUAGAAUUCGUUAUAAAAUUUUAAUUGCCCAUAAGUAAAUUACUUAGCUCUGGUUAGCCAAUAAGAUAUAUUGAUAUUUUUAUCCCUCUUAUAUAGUACUUUCUUCUCUCAAUUAAAAUUCUAGCAAUGAAAACCCUUAUUCUUCUUCUUCCUCCUCUAAAUUCUUUGUCCCUAUUCAUUCACGACGCGUGUUGCUUCGCCCAUGUCAAAUGCGUGUUAUUUUUCUAUUCAAUUUUUUCUAUGAUUUUUCUUAUUUUGUUCAAAAGAAAAAGAUUUAGAACAAAAGGAGUGGGAAAAGAGGUUGCAACAAUGGUGAAUUGAGUUAAGUUUUAAGAGAAAGAAAAUGAGGAAGAAAAUGAUCGUUGAAAAAUUUUUAGAAGAAUAUUUCUGCACAAAUAUAACAGUUGAGGCUUUUGAAGAGACAUAUUUUUUAUGGCAAAAUUGACAUUUCACUUAUCUGCUAUUAAAAAAUAAACAGUUCUCUAAUGGUAACAAACCAAAAGAAUAAUAUGAAUAUCACUGGACUUUUUAUAGGGAUAAAAGUUAAAAGUUGAACUUUAUACAGAUAUAUUUAUUUAUUUAUUUAUUUAUUUUUGAGAGAGAUAGGUAGCACGCUACCCGCUUCGUUUAUUUCAUUCAGAAAUAAACUUAGCUGGUAAUGUGAAUCAACUAGGAAAUGUGAAUCAGAUAUAUUUGUUAUUCGAUAUAUUUGCAGGUAGCUAUAUGCAAUUAACUUUAUUUUUUAAUAGUACUUUUUAUAUAUUACUUUAUUGAGAAGGACUAUUAUAUUCUAGGAUUAAUUUUAUACAUGUUUCUUCAAAUACAGUGAAUGAUAAAUAUAUCCCUACAAAAUUCAACUUUCAUAUAUUGUUCCUACAAAAAUUCUGAUGUUUUCAAAUAUGUCACUCUGGUUUGUUACCGUUAGAAAACCGUUAGAGAACUGUUUAUUUUUUAAAUUUUGUCAUCACAAAUAUGUCCCUCCAAAAGCCAAAAUAAUAUAAUAUAAGAUGAGUAAAAUAUCAAAAAUUAAUCAAAAUUAAGUAUUUAAUUUAUGAUUAAUUAAAUUUUUCUAACGGAUUCUAACAGCAUGGAUAUAUUUAAAAACAUCAGAACUUUUGUAGGGACAAUAUAUAAAAGUUGAACUUUAUAGAAAUAUAUUUAUCAUUCACUAUAUUUGUAGGUACCUAUAUGAAAUUAACCCUAUAUUCCUCCAUCAUUCUUCAGAUUAAUUUCCCAAUUUUGUUGGAAUUAAUUUUUUUUUUUUCAAAAUUUGUAAGUCGACAAGUAAAUAAUUGGAUGGGUCAUUUAAUCUCAACCAACAAAACGGUAAGAGUGUCCUUGAGAGAAAUUAAUAGUUAAAGUCUUUAAUUGCAAACCAACCAAGAUGACUAGUUUGUUGAACAACUAGGUUUAUGAUCUUAAUACACCUGCAACUACCUCCUCUUGUUUUAAUCAUAGCUCUAAUCUCGCUUUUUUAAGUUAAUUAUCUAUAUAUAUGUCUUGUAACACCUAAAUCUCUUAUUGAUAGUGGGUGUAUUAAAAAUAAUUAAAAACACUAACUGUAGAAAGUUAAAUUUAAACACUUAAUUAUUAUGAAAAUUGAAAAAAUUUUCUGAAAACUCUCGAUCGUGAAUUUUUUGACAGUUACGAAGCAUCAAUUUUUUUGAAACAGAGCGAAGUUGAAAGAAGGUUAUGAAGAUGCCAUAAAAUUGUACUGGCUAAAACUUCAAUUAAAAAUUAUUUAAAUUAAAAGGAGAAAGUUGAUGGGCAUAUCCUAUACGUGAGGGGUCUCCGUGAAAUUGUACCUGUCCUUAAUAAAUGAGCCCCGUAUCGAUCACCUCCUAUAUAAUAGUAGGUCUCGCCCACGCCUCAACACGGCUUUAUGCUCCCCACCUCUCUCUCUCUCUCUCUCUCUCUCUUCUCCAUUACCUCUCUCUCUCUCUCUCUCUCUCUCUCCCCUCUUCCCAAAAGAGCCCAAGGAGAGGUACUUCUGUGGACUAUACUUCAUCUCCGCACUAGGCCUACUGUUUCAUCUCUUUUUGAUUCUUUCCCCUCUCUUAACCAUUGUUGGAUCUCUGAGAAAAGGGUCAUACGGUUUUUUUUUUUUUUUUUCCCAUUCUACUGCUCCAAAUUUGGAGAUAUGUAAACACGAAGGUACCCAUUUUUGUAUUUGUUCCCCCCUUUUUCCCAUUCUCUGGUGAGAUUUGUGUAAAUGGCCUCCUUUUCUUUACUUAAUCACUGUUUUUCAGUUAAUAGACGAGUACCCAACUCUUUAUGUCAAGCAAAAGAGAGAUUUUUAAUCCAAAAAAAAGAGGAACAAGGAUCAAAGAUUGGAUUUCGGUGCCUCGUCUUUCGUAUCUGCCUGUAGUGAUGCCCUGUUUGUUAUGUAUUUGCAUAAUUUUGUAAUUUUAAUUGUUUUCUAUAUUUUGCUUCCUUGGCGAUGCUCGGCGUGCUACUUCUUUUUGUGUGUGUUUUUUUAAAAAAUAUUCUAAUUUCUAAAGUUAUUAAUGGGCCAUGCAACUAUAAUUAGAGAUGUGUCGGCAUUUGAGCAAUUAUGUGGUGAUUUGAUGAGUUUUUUGUUUCUAAGCUCGAGUUCUGUUUUCUGGGACAUCCCGGAAUGUAUUGAAGAUGUUUGAUCUUAUGCUUGUGAGAGCAUCUUUUGUGCUCGUUUUUGAUGUUCAAUUUAAAAGUAAGAGUUUCUUGAUAGUGGAUGUGAUCAUGAAGAUACCGUUAAUGUUUACUGGCAAUUGUUCUCAUUAGCUACUUUGCUUUGGCGUUUGGAUUUCUUUUCUUCUAGUGUAAAUGUCCUAUUAACAGGUGUCCGCCUCUUUUUCAUUUCUUUUUCCCACUGUUUGAUAAAUGGGUUUUGGUUGUAGUGAUUUUCAGAUAAGGUUUCUUCACAUCUGGUCCUCUUUGGAGUACUUAAUUGCAGUUUCUGUGUUUUGCAAUAUUAUAUAAGUGGGAUAACCUUGUAGGUAUAAGAAUUCUAUUUUUCUUUUUUUAUGUGCUUUGGAGAGCAUUUUUGUUGAUUGAUGAUAAAAAAAGUUGUUGAAAGUUUCAUUAUGCUCAAUUGCUGAUUCUGGUAAUUACCAUUAAGAUAUCAUACUUCUAGUUGCAUAUGCAAUUUUGUUUUUUUAGCUGCAUACUUCUGUUCUUCUGUUUCCUAUUUUUGUUUGCAUUCUGUUUAUAUUCCUGCCAUUAUUUCAGGUCCGUAAUGGAGAGUGAGGAAUGGGAAUCCUAUCCUUCAGCCUUCAUUGAAGGCAAGGAUCUAAAGAAAGACCUUAAUUCCGAGUAUCAUACCGACCAGGAUAAAGGCGCAUUAGUUUCCUUGGAUACCAUUCUCCCUGAUGACCUCUUGGAGAAAAUACUCUCUUUCUUGUCCAUUGUUGGUAUAAUUAGAUCAGGCUCCGUGUGCAAGAGAUGGAAUGAUGCCGUGCAAAGGUAUAAACAUACGAAAAUGGUACCCCAAAAGCCAUGGUAUUUCAUGUUCACGUGCGGCGAGGAAGCUGUGGCAGGGUACUCUUACGACCCAAGUCUGAAAAAGUGGUACAAUUUCAAUUUCCCUUGCAUUGAGAAGAGCAAUUGGUCUAUCUCAUUUUCCUAUGGAUUAGUAUGCUUAAUGGAUAGUGAAAAUAAAAGUCGUGUCUUUGUGUGCAACCCUAUCACUAAGCAUAGGCGGAAGCUUCCCUAUGCUCCGGGUGGAAACUCCCCCGACUAUAGCGCGCUUGCUAUAUCGGUCGAUAAAGAGUGUCAUAAUUACACCAUAGUGGUCGCAAAGUGUGGGCAAGUGCCGGAGGAGCAUCAUCUGUGGAAUAUAUCAAUCCAUAUUUAUUUUUCGGAAAGUGACGAGUGGUUCGAUCCCUUCAAUGAAACUUUAGUAGGUUGGAGAGGUUGUGAUGAUUGUGUCAUUUGUGAUGGAGUUUUGUAUUAUUUGCUUUACUCUUCUGGUUAUGUUGGGCAUAUCGCAUCGCGCCAUUGUUUGGCUAUGUAUGACCUCUCAACCAGGCCGGGUCAUUUUUCUUUAAUGAAUACAGCUAUACCUGCGCCAUGUACACUCACAUGUGGCAGGCUUAUGAACCUAAGGGAUAGAGUUAUUCUGGUUGGAGGAAUAGGGAAGCAGGAUAGGCCGGGAGUUAUCAAGGGGAUUGGGAUUUGGGAGCUUCGAGAUAAGAAGGAAUGGUGCGAGGUUGCGCGCAUGCCUCAGAAGUUUUUCCAAGGAUUUGGAGAGCUUGAUGAAGUAUUCGCAAGCAGUGGUUGCGAUGAUUUGAUUUAUAUACAGAGCUAUGGGUCGCCGGCUUUGCUUACUUUCGACGUGAGCCAGAAGCUAUGGAAGUGGACGGUGAGGAGUCCCGUUUCAAAGAGGUUCCCGCUACAGCUCUUCACUGGAUUUUGUUUCGAGCCACGGCUAGAAAUUGCUUCGUAGUUGUAUCUGUUUCUGUUGCUUUGAAACUUGGUUUUUACAAGAUAUGACAUUUUGCAAACUUUUGGAGCUGUUGAAGAAGUCUACGAAACUUAAUGGAUACCAAAACGAAGAUGUUUUAACUAUAGAGAAUCAUUUUCAUUUCUUUCAGUUCUAAAUUGGCUUUUUUUGUUUUUGUUUUCUUUAUAUUGCUGGGUCUAUAAUAUGAGUUGUUUCUUGAUAGUUAUUUGAGCUGUAGAAAGCAAAAGAUGAUACCUAACAUUCCUGAGAAGGCAAUGCCCUUAUACUCUCUGUUUCAUGAUGACAAUGAUUUGUUUCUCUUACCACAUGAAGUAAGACUUCACUUGUAUACCAUUAAAGCAAUUCUUUUUCCUUCUGCACUUGUUGAUUGCUGCUGGCUCUUUUAAAUAGUCAACCACCUGACUGAAAAAUUGGAAGGGGAAUUCCCUCACAGAUAAGUUGUUUGUCAGUCGUAUCUUCGUGCUUUCUCAUACAUAUCUUUAUUGUUAGAUUUGUAGCUGUUGCCUGCACCAUGGAUCAUGCGUUCAAUCUAGCAAUUCAAUUUCUAAGCAGCCAAAGGAAAAAUUAAAAAUUGGCGAGGGGAACUAAUUAGUCCAACAAAUGCAUCAGGUGCAGGCAGUAAACUUUUCUUCGAGGUCAAAUCAAACUUGACUAAAAUAUAGGGAGCUAAUUGUUCAAUUCACCCUAAUUUCAUAAAAUGUUAAUGUGCUAAUGGUGUUAUUGUGUAUGUAAAUCUGAAUGUCUUGAUGCAUGUCCUGUGUGCCGUGCUCAUUUAAAAUGCUUUCGUUGUUUCUUUGCUUUUGUCCAUCUGUUAAAGUAGGCAGUUCACCAGAGCUUAGAGUUUCUCCCUAGAAGUCGAAUUAAUGGUCCUCACUGUCAUCAGCUGCAGAACUUUAUGACUUAAUGGCGCGAAUAGUGCCAAAAAUCUGGACAAGUUUCAAUGACUGCUACUAGGGACUUAGAGGUGACCCCAACUCAGUAAGCUUCUUAUGCGCUGUCAAUUAUGUACGACGAGUGUUUAUAUUUAUGCACGACGAGUAUUGAUCAUCUCAGUAUAAUGCUCAAUUCAUUGCUAACGUAUCAACAACACUUUCAGAUUCGUAUAAAAAACUGUACAUAGUAUCCAGCAUAUUAUUCUUAUUGAAUUGUCGCUCUCUAGUCUCUACAGCUCUCCCCACAUCCACUGCAGAGAAGAUGUCAGCCCAGGCUAUACUGUCUCUCUAGUUGGACCACCAAAGGUGUCUGCUUCCAAUGCAGUGCCAACAGAUUAGAGAGAGAGAUCCCUAGGGCAAUUAACUGGGGCUGCUCACUAUCUACUAACUAUAUUUUACUAGGUUCAGUGAAUUUAAUCCAUGCAUUGCAUCUAUCUCAUCUCCUAAUUCAAUCUCUAACACGCACUGAUUUACAGACCGUUCAUUCAUCUCACGACAUAAUCUGCAUCGAAAAGUAACUAAUAGUUGCUGUGCAGAUAAUCAUUAUUGGCCAAAGUUGUUUUAAAGUGAUGGUCAUUUCAUUUGUAAUUUUUCUAAGUACCAUGAGCUAAUCAUGUGGGAUUAUUUGCAAUAUAUAUUCCACUUUGUCUAGGGUGAGGUGAGUUUUGUCUUAUAUUGUCCCUCUCACUUUCACACAGCUAAGCUUUGGUAGUGUUGUUGGCUCCACAUACUAUACUAUUACUCUAUUCUGAGACAUCUCUGUACGGGCUCUUUUGAUUUUGACCACACCUUGCUAAUUAACAAGCCACAGUUGGAUCUAACUCUGACCAAAUUUUUUGCAUUGAAUACAUACAAUUGAAGUUGAUGGCUUAUAAUAUUUUGAUAUUGAUUAAAAAUUUGAGACUAAAUGCAUAGUUUAUGUACCUAAAGUUGGGUACCCAAUAAUUUGGGUUCUGUGUCGUUUUCAGAAUUGGGUAGUAGUUGCUGACACCUUUUUUCAGAUUCAGCAGUCCUAUGUUUUUGUUUUUACUGAGUGCAGAUCGUAUGUAUUAAAUUAAUUUAAAUGCAUUCAAUAGUAACCAACCCAUUAGUUUUCCUAAUGCAAUGUGCUCCAGAACAAUUCAUUACCAUGUUUAGAAUUAUAUUUACCAUCUUGAAAAACAGAGAUAUAUAUUUUACAGCGGUUAAUUUCAACAAUAAAAAUGAUUAUAAUUACAAAUCCGUAAAUUACAAUGCAUACUCUCAAAAGUUAAAAGACAUAGAAAAGUGACUGUAACAUCCCAAUACUGCAACUUAAUGUUUGAAUUUUUUUUACUUAAAUACUUUAAUUCCUCUACUUUCUUAUGCAAUGCAGAAUACAAGAAAACUUAGCACAUGAUUUUUUUUUAGCUAUAAUUUUUUUUGAAUAGAUUUCGACAAUUAAACUUAAAUAGAAGUUACUAUUAAAUUUAACUAAUUCCAAAUACGUCGAUUUAUAGAAUUGAUUUAAAUCUACAAAUUUAAAAAUUAAAAGAGUAUUAAUUAAAAGAAAAUUAAUUAAGUUUUCUAUCUCAAAAUAAGUAAUAGUAAAGGGAUCCCUCCGCAAUUUUAACCGGGCAAAAUUACCUCAUUAUCCACUUCUUAUCUAAAAUUGUAAUAUUCUAGAGGCGUUUUGUUAUAAAACGCGUUUAGUUUCUCAUAAUAACUCUUUCCCCCAAUCACCAUCGCAAAACGAGAGCUCCAACGGCUAUUUUUGGCACCCCGAAACCCUAAUUUUCCGCAGUGUUUCCACCCUGUCUCCGCCCUUUCACCAUCUCUCUCUCACUCGCUCCUCGAUCCGAGGUGCCUUAAAUGGCCCUCCCCCUGCGAUGGAGGUGGUGGCUCUCGCCGCUCCCGGAAGCGACGUCCUCGAAAGGUACGCUCCCCCUUUCAAAGCCCUCGAUUUGAUCCUUUUUACCCUGUUCGCAUUCGAAUUGAAUCGAUUACCUAUUAGGGCGUGUGGUCCUCUACUCCUAUUGGUGGAGAUUUCGCUUUUCGCUUAGAUCUUGGGCGAAACCCUAGUCCGAUAAAGAUCUGCCUUGGUCUGAUGUAGCCGUAGAUUCUGUCGUUUUUUGAUGGGAAAGAUGUGAUGGAUUGAAGGGUUACAGCUGUAGCUGUUCGCAGCUGCUGGAGGAGAACUUGGUAGGGAUGAGGGAUCCUCCAAAACCCUAGUAGGUGAAAACAAAGAAGGAAAAUGUUUAGGGUCAAAUACAUGGAUAGUCCCUGUAUUAUCCUAAUAAUGCAAUUUGGUCCCCGAACUUUUAACCAAACACUUUAGAUUUCGUCCUUUAGUCUUUGACCAUCAUCAAAAAUCUAAUUUUUCUUGCAGAAUGGCAAUUUUACUCCUUCACCUGUAAAAUAACUUUCUUCCUGUAUUAAACCAGGUUGAAAGUUUGUAUUUUUUUUCAUGAUCAGGAACUAGAUUACAAUAAAGUAUAAAUUAAAAGUACGGGGACCAUAUUGCAAUAUUAGGGUUGUUUUAGGGCUAAAAAAGUGCCUAUACAUUUUACCCAAAGUUUAAAAGUAAAGAUCAGUUGGGUGUUUUAUAGUUACUGUCUUGGUGCUGGAUUGUAUCAUUUAUUCUUUCUGUUUCUGGUAGUUAUUUAUGGCCCUUCUCAGUACCUGUUGGCUUCUCCCUUCCUUCCCUUUUUUUAGGGCUACUGGACCUAAAUUUACACUUUUCUGCAAGAGGUUUCCAGUUAUUGCUUGUCGAGUCAUAAAUGCAUUCUCUCGAGUCAAAAUCUGUAGGAUAUUAUUUAAAUUCUCUGGGGGAAAAAAUAUUUGUUGUGACAUAAUAAAUGUCCCUGGUACACUUUUAAGGUAACAGCUAUGCAUAUUGUUAUAGAACUAAUUGCACUAUGGUGAUGGUUUUAGGUAGUUGAAAGGUAUGCUCUGAGAGUGAUGGUAGGGCCUACUACCAAUUUUAGUAUGAUUUUGCCAAAGUAUGCUGUAUUGCCAGUUGCUUCCUUCUUACAUUUAUUGUUAUGCAUUAAGUGUUUUCUUUUUCCAAUUUUGGGGAUAGAGAUUGAUCUUAUUGUAGAUGUGUAUUCUGGGAUUUAUAAAAUAACUGAUUUGAUCUAAUUGAAUGGAGUAUAGAGAUCUCAUGCUGGAUCUAGUUUAUUGGACUGAUAUCCAUAUGUAAGAGAAAUGAAAUUAUAUAGCCCUAAUAAAUCUCUAUGCAUUAUCUUAUGGUUCGGCUUGAAAUAUAUUAUUCUUCACAUGAAUUGUAUUUAAAUCCUAGGAAUAGAUUUGGCCUUAUUUGCUUUUGGCCUAAUAAUUUUAGGUCCUUUCUGCGAAGAUCUGUUAAGAGAUUUAUCAUUCUAAGGACGAUUUUAAGGCUCGAGGAAUUCAGAUUUUCGUAGGAGCUAUUUUUUUUAAAAAAAAAAUGGUUAGUAAGUAUUCUCAUAUAUGUAAGAACAGUCAUGUGUUCAGGUGUUCAGUGAAUGGGCGAUUCCCUGAACGCCAAGAGUUGAAAGUGAAUCGUAAAAUAAUUUGGAUGGCCAACUGUUUUCAAGUACUGUUUAGAAUAUCUACAAAAAAGUGUUCUUGAAGGUUAUACCUCAUUUGUCCAUGUUGUGAACAAUUAUCACAUCAUAAAGUAAUCCAAACGUUAAUGCUAUUGCUAUGAUAUCGUUGGUCCAUUUGAUUUUAAUAUUUUAAUUAAGCUCGUCUGCCUUUCUUGGUUAGUGCAUUAUGUUCUGAUUCUGUGUAUAUAUGCAGGUUUAUUUGGAGAGACACAUGGCCGUUUCAGAGAAGGAUUUGUCCCUUCUAGAUUUUGGUUCCACUUCGAGUUACUGCAUACAAUUCCCUGCACAUAUUUCCACAGAUUCUCGAGUCACAUUUACUGAUGUUGAGUGGAGUGAUUAUUGCCCUGAAGUUUUCAGGUUUCUUUAAAAUCUCAUUUAUUCCCUUUCUAUUUAAAGAGAGGUGGUCAAGGAACGUUAUCUGUUAUUUCCGGUUCUUACUGUACUAAGCAAGGAAUAUGAUUAGUUUUGCUUUUCCUUUGGCUUUGUUGUGACUGUAAGAAGUUUGGGUGAAUCAAAUAGGAAGUUCCUAUGGUGGAUCAAACUUCAGUUUGGCUGCUAAACUAAUUUUGGCCCCUAAACUUCAAUUUCUCUUGGUCAAUGGCUAAACUAAAUCAAUUUUAUUCAAGGCUCGUCUUCAAAGUUUAGUCUAUGAGAGUUGACGGAACUUUGAACUUUACAGACCAAAUUUUGUGUUCACCCAAGGUUUGGGGAACUUCUACAUAAAUUUUACUCUGAGAAGUCCGCAUCUAUCAUGUUGGCUUUACUAAUCUAUUUCCAUUUAGAAGCUUCUUUGUUAUUUAAGGCUUGUUGCUAACUUGAUGAAAUCUAUUGCUUUGGUUGAAAAUUAACUUUUAUUUUCCUACUUGAAUUUGUAGGGACCUUCGGGAACUUCAAGAGAUAAAUGAAGAUGAUUACGUGGUUUCAAUUCGUAGUCAUGAAACCUUAAGACAACUUAUUGCAUCUAAAAAGAACGGCACUCAUCUUCAGUUGUCCCAUGAUAAGAAGUUCGUCGUAAAGAUCAUUGCCAAGAAUGAUAUGAAGGUGCUUCAAGACUUGUCACAUUUUCAUUCAAGAUUUCGUUUUAUUGCAGUUCUUUGACUCUCUAUCAUUAGGCUAUCAUGGUUGUCAAACCCAGAUGGCUACUAAGUGCUCUCUAGAUACUAUUAAUAAAGAAUUUAGACAGAACAUUUAGCACAAUCACUGAGUUUACUAUUCCUGCUUAUGUAGGUACUAUUGCAUAUUCUACCGAAGUACUAUCGUCAUUUGCAGACAUACAGGAAUACUUUACUUCCUAACUUUUUGGGACUUCAUAUGGUGAAGCCACUAGGUGGCCAAAAGGUUGGUCUCUAUACAAUGCAUAAUACUGUUGCCAUCUUUUAUUUAAAACACUUUGUGAUGAGUUAUCCAGUUAUUUUUCCUCAAAAGUUUAGCAGUUUAUCAUUAUCUUCUUGAUGUAUCCUGAUUUUUAGAUGCCCUUUUUAGUAUUCUGUGUCAUCUUGUAGUCACUUUUUGAUGUUUUUUCUUAGAAAAACAGUUUUAAAAUAUAGAACAAAUUACAACAGAAACUUAUUUAAAUUUAGGGGAAACUUUAAAUAGCCCCCCGUGGUUUCGUACUUUCUCACUUUAGUACCCUGUGGUUUAAAGUGUAUCAAGUUAGUACCCUGUGGUUUCGCACUUUCUCACUUUAGUACCCUGUGGUUUAAAGUGUAUCAAGUUAGUACCCUGUGGUUUCGCACUUUCUCACUUUAGUACCCUGUGGUUUCAAGUGUAUCAAGUUAGUACCCUGUGGUUUUCGCACUUUCUCACUUUAGUACCCUGUAAUUUAAUAUUUCGUUAAAUUAUAUACUCCGAAAUGGAUAAUAAAAAGAGAAAAUUGAAACCACAGGGUACUAACUUGAUACAAAAAUAAAACCACAGGGUACUAACUUGAUACACUUGAAACCACAUGGUACUAAAGUGAGAAAUUGCGAAACCACAGGGUACUAACUUGAUACACUUUAAACCACAGGGUACUAAAGUGAGAAAGUGCGAAACCACAGGGUACUAACUUGAUACACUUUAAACCACAGGGUACUAAAGUGAGAAAGUGCGAAACCACGGGGGGGUAUUUGAAGUUUCCCCUUAAAUUUAAUAUAAACCCCUUUCGUAUGAACUCCAUUUUAACAAAUAUGAACUUUUUCAUAUUUGUUAGAUCUAUGCAUUUGAUAAAAGUCAAUUCUGAGUUUCACAAUUUCAGCGGAAGUUUAAUGGUUCUGUAAAUUACUUGCCUGUUCCUUAAUCUUCUUUAAAUAUCUAAUUUUUUCCAAGUAGAAAAUCAUUCAAAAGAUAAUCUGUUUGAUAAUUUUUAUACUUACGCAUAUGAAUUGCUUCUAGAAAUAUAUUUUUAAUGCAUGGGCUAUAUUGGAGAGGCUAACUUUAGUAAUUCAGUAAUAGAAAAUAAUUAAAUUCAUGAUUAAUAGGUUUUUUAGAUGUACUUUAUGAUGUACAACACAAAGGUUUUGUACCUUUUCAUCAAUAAUUCUCGGUGGGUUUUUUUUACACUCUGCAGAUUCGAUUUGUUAUCAUGGAACACAAACUUCAAUCAGAUCUAGGCAUUCAUAAGCAAUUCAAUUGCAAAACGUUGCAUCACGGUCGCCAUAUAUCCAGAGCUGGGUGGGAGGAAGAUCUGAGCAUAGGCUUUCAUCUGCACACAUUAGCAAGGAGUCAGCUUCUAGGGUAGCUAUCUGACUGCUUGAGUUAUAAAGUUCUUUAAUUUUCUUCUUCGUCUGCUGGUUGAUUGUUACUCUUUUAGGAAAACAUAUAAGAUGGAAGUUAUUUGAGAUCUUCUGUUUUUAGAAAUCUCUAUCUUCACUAUUUGAGUUUAGUCUUUUCAGGUAAUUGUUAAAUGCUAAUGAUAAGGAAGCAACGAGGGAAGUGUGAUUAUUUAUUUAGCUAAUGAAAGAGGACCUCAACAUUAUACUCAACUAUAGUUCUUGUCAGUUGUUGUUGCUUUGGUUAACUCAGUUUCUUCAUCAUGUAUAAUAAGUUUUACAAAAUGUACAUACUCCUUAUGAUCUCGUCUGAUAUUUAUCACUGGGUCUCUAGGUAUAAGAAAUUAAGAAUACGUAAUGCGCAGGGAAUCUUUAAUCAGAACUUUAAAAAAGUAUAACUAUGAAGUUUCAUAUUCUGAGUAAUUUAUUGUAUUCCAACAUCUACUUCUGUUCUACGGACAAAUAUUUGAGAACCCCCUUUAACCACUGUUUAGCCAGUUAAAACUGGUUCAUCAUGAGAUACCUGAUCGUAUGCCAUGACUUCCUAAAAAGCUUGGCUAGACAUUAUCCAAAUCCUAAUUGGUGGAUUUUAUGAGUAUAUUUCUGACUAACUGUAGGUAUUUUUUUCCUUAAAUACUCACAAUCCAAUUUUAAGUGCUUAUUUCAAGUAGUGUGUACUCAAAUUUUCAGCAUACCUUAGGAAGAUUACUCAAAAGGGUUUUUUUGCAACCUAACCAUUUAAGGACUCUGCACCAAUUCUUAUUAAUAAAUAUGCUUCGUGAUUAAUCGAAUUAAGUAUGAUUGAUCAGGAAUUUUUCUUGCCACAGGCAAAUCAAGGCUGACUGUGAGUUUCUGGAAGAGGAAGGUAUUAUAGAUUAUGGUCUCUUAAUCGGAAUGCAUGUGUGCCCCACACCCUUCGAUGCUGUUGUCAAAGGUCUGUUUGGUGCAAGUAAAAGAACACCUGAAUUGCCAUAUUUGGAUCAAAAAUUUUCUGAAUAGUGAAUAAAAUGACUAAAGCACAUAUCAUACCUGCAUUUGUGUUGUUAAACAAGCUUCCUCAGUCUCAUGCUGAUAGUUAAAUAGUCAUGACUGGGAUUAACCGUCUGCUGAUUGAGUGUCCUCGAGACAUUUUUUGAACAUCCAUUUGCACAUAGUUUAAAGUGAAUAUGUAUGUUCAGAAAUAUUAUUAUUAAUUGUAUAGGAGAGAUCUAAUGAUUAUAUGUGGUGAGCCAAAAGAGAUGUACUCGAUGAUUUUGCUUAGGCUAUACACAAUAUAUUAAGUUUUAUGUGAAAAGUGUGAUUUCCAGAUUGAAUUUAGCUUAGAACAUUGAAUUAGGGUUGUGAAAAGAUGAAUCGACAAAGUAGAACAUUAUUUGAUUGAUCAGGCUGGAUUUCUUUGUUGAAGAACUUUGAAUAGGAAGAUAAUGUUUUAGAUCUUUUUUUUCACCUAAUUAUCUGUAAGCCGAUCACCAAAUUCAUGUUGCAGGAUCAAAUGAUGUCAAGAAGAAGCCCUCAGAUGGUGAGAGUUCCAACGAAAGUAAUUCAGAUCAAGAUUUAACGUGUGAUGGUGAUUCGCAGCCAUCCUCUCAGAUAGAGUAUGCCUUCAGCAUUGAACUUCUUUACUUUUUCUGUCAUUGUUUUGCUGUGAAUUCAUCAGUCUUAAUUAAAACAAAAAAAUUUAUCAAUGUACUGUAAAAAUUCAGUUUUUUCUUUUUUUUGUCGAACAAACACAUUAAUUUCAGAAAUAAAUCUCGCAAUAGCAAAAUAUUACAGAAGACUGCCCCCUAAUCCCACAGGACUAGAAGCAAAACAAGAAUGAAAAACAUAAACAAUGCCUAAUCAUCGCUCCAUUAUUGUUCAUUCUGAUUUGUUGCAGGCCUGAUGAUAAACUUGGUAAACUCGGUUUAAGGAUGCCGGCUCGUGCAGUGGACAUUCGGAGAUUGGACGGCGGCGGAGGAUUGUACCGAAGAUCACAUAAGGAAGAAAAGAACAAUGUUAUCCUCUUUAUGGGGAUUGCCGAUAUCCUUCAAGGAUACGGCGUGCUCAAGCGUGUGGAGCAUGUAUUCAAAUCUCUGCAGUAUGAUACACCAUCGAUCUCAGGAUCAAAUCCCAAGGCUUAUUCGAUCCGUUUUCAGGAGCUUCUUUGCACUUUAUUUCCAGAAAACCUCUGAUGCCGGCAAAAUCUAGUAAUUAUGUAUACUUUCCUGAAUGUCAGGAACUCUAUCUAGUAAUGGUGAGUGUGUAUAGAUAAACUCUAUUCAAAGUAAAAUUGUAGCAAUACCUAUGGAAUUUCUUAAUAUAAUUUGUCCACAUAUGAACACUUAAAACAUGUAAUUUCUCACUUGGCGUGUGACAUUUUUAAGAUAACAGUUCAUAAACUCUUUUGCCUUAACAGUUUCUUGGGUAAAAUGUAGGGGUAGUUCUAGUACUAUCCCCAUAUUGCAAGUAGGUCCCUGUAUUCUUGAUCUUUGAACAACAAAAAAAAACUGCAUUUAUUUUGAAAAUUGACAUUUCAAGCUUAUUCGAACUGAACUAAAAUGAUAAAUUAAAUUGUUAAUAUUUUUUUAUUCAAAGCAUCUGUUUAAUUGAAUUAAUUACUAAUUUUGUUAAACUUCACAGCACUAACAACUUUCCAAUUGACCAAAGUGUUAAUUCUUCAAAUCCAAUCAGCUAAAAUGCAAUGGAAUAUGCUUUGUCCACUUACUAGUUUUACAACUUUUUAAUUACGUUUACGUGAUAGUUUUCUAUUAGUUAUCUUUAUCUUUAUCUAUGCACGAAUUGAAUUAUAAUACUCUUCUCGUGAAUUGUACUUGUCAUCCAAUUAAAAUCCUCCAUACAUCUUCGCCUAAGACAUAUGCAUUGGCCCACAAACCUAAGCACCUAAUAAUGGAUAAUACUUAACUUGGCAUUCAUUCACAAUACGCAUUCGUGUUCUUUUCCUUUUGAAGUACUUAUUUAAGUUUUAUCCUAGUCCAUUCGUAUUCUUCUCGAAAUUUGGUUAGUUCAACUGCUGUAGUGCUGUGUUAGAUCCAAGACACAAACUUAUCAUGAGCUCAUAUGGUCUCAUGUAAUCUAAAAUGUAUACAAUUCAUAUUAUCUUUUAUAGAAUAAUUAACAAAGUAUGUGAUCACAUGGAGGCAUUAUGGGGCCUAGAUUAAUUAUUUAUAGUCCUAAACAAAGUCCUUAAUGUGGUUUAGAAAAGGUGGGACACAAUGUUGGCUUAUGUUAUAGGAAAAGGGGGUACAUUCUUAAGUGGUGGAUCACUUCUUAAUUUGCUAAUUAAUAUGACGAAACUAAGCAGUUUAUCAACAGAGAAUUAAUAUUUGUUCCGCCCAUAAACCUCUCUAGCUUUCUCCCUCAUGGAAAUUUCAUAUAAUAAAGUACGCAAAUAAUGCUCUAUGCUAACCAAAAAAAAUAGUAUAAUAAUUCGCAAAUCAUAAGCUCAUAAGCAAUGAAUAUUUAUCUCUUCGUGAUUUACGUCUCCCCGCAAAGAAAAAAAAAAAAAGUGGUAUUCUACUAACAUAGUUGUGUACUUUUAUUUAAUUUGUCAGAAAAUGUAACUCAUGAAGACAUAGACAUACAUAAUUGUAUGGUGGUAAACUAUUUUUAAAUUUAUUUGUAAGCGUAGUGCAAAUACACAAUUUGGAUGAUGAAAAAUUUAUCUACGGAUCAUCGAUCCUACAUAAAUUGGCGACAUCCAAGAACAUGUAGCUCGGUAAAAUAGAAAUAUCGAAAAAGAUUGCAGCUUUAGUUGGUUGGUUCGCAAAGUAGUUUUUUUUUUUUUUUUUUUGAGAGAGAGAGAGAGAGAUAGAUAGCACGCUAGCUGCUUCGUUUAUUUCAUUUAGAAAUAAACUUAGCUGAAGAUGUGAAUCAACUAGGAUUCGAACUUGGGUCCCUUCGCAAAGUAGUUGAUCAUUGUACACCUUUAGAAUGAAGGUUUUCAUUCUUCUGAAAUCAAUCCAGUCUAGCUCUAUAAAAAAGGUUAUAUGCAUAUAGAUUCUUACAAAUAAAGUAAAUUACAAAUAUAUUUCUAUAUAAAGUUCAACUUUUAUAUAUUAUUUCUACAAAAAUUUUAGAAAAAACUUCAAAAACCCUCCUUGUGGUUUCAAUUUUUUACACUUUCGUACCCUGUGGUUUAAAUGUAUCAAGUUAGUACCAUGUGGUUUCUCACUUUAUCACUUUAGUGCCCUGUGGUUUAAAGUGUAUCAAGUUAGUACUCUGUGGUUUUGCACUUUAUCACUUUAGUAUCCUGCGGUUUUAAUUUUGUAUCAAGUUAAUACCCUGUGGUUUUUUAAAUCACAGGGUACUAAAGUGAUAAAGUGUGAAACCACAAGGUACUAAAGUGAUAAAGUGCAAAACCAUAGGGUACUAAAGUUAUAAAGUGAGAAACCACAUGGUACUAACUUGAUACACUUUAAACCACAGGGUACUAAAAUAAAAAAGUGUGAAACCACGGGAGGGGUUUUGAAGUUUUUCCAAAAUUCUACUAUUUUUAAAUUUGUCAUUCUGAUUUAUUACUGUCAGAGAACAGUUAACGACUGUUUAUGUUUUCAAUUUUGUCAUCACAAAUACGUCUCUCUAAAUGUCGCAAUAAUAUAAUAUAAAAAAGAUAAAAAUAUAAAGUUAUCUUAUAAAUUAACCAGAGUUAAGUAUUUAAUAUAUGAUUAACUAAAAAUUUUCUAACGAAUUCUAAUUGUAGAAAUAUAUUUAAAAAUAUUAAAUUUUUUAUAAAAAUAAUAUAUAAAAAUUAAACUUUUAAUAAAUAUAUUUAUAAUUUAUUAUAUUUGUAGGAAUCUGCAUAUAAUCCAAAGGAUUACGAUACUGCUUGGAAACUUUACUGUAUUAUGAUGUUUACAUCUUGCACCGAAUAAUCCUAGGAUAUUUUCUUUUAAAAAAAAUCGCAUUAAAGAAAAAUUUAUACCCAUAUUAAUUAUAGAUAUUUUGGACACCAAUAUCUACAUAUGUACACCAUUCGAAUAUUAUGAUUUUUUCGUAUCUAAUGAAUGACCUGUAACUGCACCACGGUCUCUUGAAGAUAUGACAACUCAGAGUUAGAAAUGUUGAGCUAAAAACUGGUACGUUGUUUCAAUAAGCCAACUCAGAAGUUACCCAGAACAUAUAUAUAUAUAUAUAUAUAUAUAUAUAUAGCUAGGUUAGUAUAUUAUCGGUAACACAGAGGUCUCCGUACUACUAAGUUAUUUUCAAUAAUGCGGUUUCCAAAUCGACGAUCAGUUCCGUAAGACUUGAUCUACACUAUUAAAAAUAUUUGAAAACUAAAUUCAAUAAUUUUUCGGUAUUAUUUACCUAUCAAACAAGUAAUCUAAAAAUAAACAGUUGAAAAUUAAAAUCUCAUAAAAUGAUGAAAAAAGACUUGAAUUUAAGAUCAGAAUUACUGGUCUUACUCUAAAUAGUGAAAAAAAAAUUUUAAUAAAAAUUUCAUCAAAUUUGAAUUGUUUUACACCGUUAAAGUUACAAAGGCUUUACAUCUACCAUUAAAAUUGUCAAUUUUGAGACCUUUUGAUCACUAGCCAAAUAAUGUCGAAAAAUUCUGAACUUUAGUUUCCAAAUAUUCUUAAUAGUAUAGAUCAAGUCUAACGGAACUAAUCGUCGAUUUGGAAGCCGCAUCAUUGAAAACAACUUGGUAGCACGGAGGCCUCCGUGCUACCGAUAGUAUACCAGCCUCUCUCUCUCUCUCUCUCUAUAUAUAUAUAUAUAUAUCUAUAUAUAUAUAGACUUAAACUGGACUACUAUCAAUAGCACCAAGCAUUUUAUGCUAUUAGGUUUUCGGCUCUUGGAUUAAAAAAUGUACGGUUAGGAUAAUGUGGGCCCGCUAGGGUUGAGUGAGUUGUUGGUUUAAUAGUAUAAUCUAAUAGGUGAAAUUAGUCAAAGGGUUAAAUCUAAUGGCGGAAAACUUGAUAGCACCAAAUGCAUGGUGCUAUUGAUAGUAUCCUAGCCGAACUAUAUAUAUAUAUAUAUAUAUAAUUGAGCUAGAAUACUCUCAAAAGCACCAAGGAGUGGUGUUUUUGAGUUUUUAGCCUUUGGAUGGAAAAAUGUAGAGUUGGGAUGAUGGUGGUAAAUGGUGGCAGGUGGAAUAGUGUUUGAUAUAAGAGUUAUUAGUAAUCAAGGAGUAUAUCCAAGGAUAGAAACUUAGAAGCACCAAGAGAUUAGUGCUUCUAAAAGUAUUCUAGCUCAAUUCUCUCUCUCUCUCUCUUGCUCUCUAUAUAUAUAUAUAUAACUCUCUCUUGCUCUAUAUAUAUAUAUAUAUAUAUAUAUAUAUAUAUAGAGCAAGAGAGAGAGAGAGAGAGAGCUAGGCUGGUAUGCUAUCGAUAGCACGGAGGCCUUCGUGCUACUAAGUUGUUUUCAAUGAUGCGGCUUUUUAAAGAGACUAUCGACUCCGUUAGACUUGAUCUACAGUAUUGAAAGUAGUUGGAAACUAAAUUUCAUAAUUUUUUGGCAUCAUUUAUCUAUCAAACGAGUAGUUUAAAAAUGAACGGCUGCAAAUAAAAAAUUUAUAAAAAAUGAUGAUAAAAUACUUGAAUUUAAGAUCAGAGGUACUGAUCUUACUCUAAAUAGUGAAACGAAUUUUUUAUAAAAAUUUCAUCAGAUUUGAAUUGUUUUAUACUGUUAAAUUCACAAACGCAUGACAUCUACCAUUAAAAUUAUUAAUUUUAAGACCUUUUGAUCACAAGCCAAAUGAUAUCGAAAAAUUAUGAAAUUUAGUUUCCAUAUAUUUUCAAUAAUAUAAAUCAAGUCUAACGGAACCGAUCAUCGAUUUGAAANUUUCAAAUGGGAUUUUUUUUUUUUUUGUACACCGAUGUAUAUAUAAAAUAUUACUCCUGUGGUCUCGCACUUUCUUACUUUUGCAUUAUGUGGUUUAAAGUGUAUCAAGCUAGUGUUAUGUGCUUUCAUUUUUAUUUUUUUCGGGCUUCUUCGUUAAUAUUUUGUUAAACUAUAUACAAAAAACUUCAGAUACCCUACUUAGGUUUAUCAAAUAUUUAUUUUAGUACUUUUUAUUUUUAAUUUUGUUACUGAUUUAACGAAAAAAAAAUUAGUGAAAUCGAGAAUAGAAAGAUAAAAAUAAAACCACAUGGUACUAAAUUAAUACACUUUAAACAAUACGGUACUAAAGUGAGAAAGUAUGAAACCACAUUGAUGAUAUUUGAUUUUUUUUUAUAACAAUUAUUAUUAUAUAACGUUAUAUUGUAAAAUAAAAAUAAAUAAAUUUUUUUAGACCAUACAAAAUAUAAAUUUGAAUAUUUUUAAAAACGUAAUAGUAAACAAAAUCUGAACUUAUUUAUUUUUUUUAAAAAAAUAUCAUACUAUCAGCCUUAUAAUUUUUUUAAAAAAUCAGACUAUCGCAAUGCUUUACAAGUUCUUAUAAAUUUUCACUUUGCUUCUUCGAGAUCAUUUGCAUGUUAGGUCGGAAAAACAGUUAUUUACUUUUACCUUAAAUUCUUCUUUUCUUUUUCUUUUUUUUUUUUUAAAAAAAAGGACUAAGAAUCGAACUCGAUGGGGUCCAACUGUUAGACCAAAAUGGACUGGAUUCAGUGUUGUAUUUAGAGAUCAUGUGCAUCUCAAAGUGGGCAAAUUUUGUAAUCAACCGAGUGAUCUAACUCCAUAUAUAAUGGCCCAAACGUACAACUGAUCAAUUUUGGUCCUUUAUAUAUGUAGAUAAGUAGGUGCACUUUAUUAGGCAGUGAUUCUCCAUGUCCUGUGCUACACGUUUUUGAGCUAAAAAUUGGACAUUUUUUGUGGGGGAUCUAUCACUUCUGCUACCUAUGAAUUAUUUCUUGUUUCUAUAUGUAUAUAUAUAUACAUCUGUGUGGUUGGUUGGGUAUACUUUUGUGCAAUACCCCUUGAUUAACUAAAAUAAUGUAAUAAGAGUAUUAAGGGUGAAAUUUGUGAAUAAAAUCUUUGUUGUAUUCUAAAAUUGCAACUCUCAUCCAUCACUGCAUCUGCGCCACUUUUUAAAUUUUUAAUAAGUUACUAUAAAUGUGUUAGCGGGGAUUGAAACCUCCGACUUUUGAAAUUGCCUCUUCUGCAAACAACUACACUAAAUAAGAGUAGUUGAUUCUUGAACUUAUCAUUAAUUAUUAGACAUAGUUUAGGAUUAAUGUGUUAUUUGAAUUCAUUAAUUCUUCCUGCUAAAACUCUUCGAAAUUUUGAAAGUACUUAAAUUAAUCCUGCUUCGAUGCUUUAAAGUGGUAGAAGAUGAUGUACUUCUCUGAUGGUGAAUUUUACCACCAUUUUAAGUCAUCAUAGAAAUAUAUAUAGAGAGAGAGAACUAGGCUGGAAUACUAUCAAUAGUAUCAAGCUAUUAGUGCUAUUAGUCUUUUAGCCCUUAAAUUAAGAAUGUAUGGUUAGGAUGAUAUGAGCCCCUUAGAAUUGAGUAAGUGGUUGGUUGAAUAUAUAAUCUAAUGGGUAAAAUUAAUUAAGGAAUUAUCUAACGAUGGAAAACUCGAUAGUACCAAAUCCUUGGUGCUAUCGAUAAUAUCCCAGCCGGACUAUAUAUAUAUAUAUAUAUAUAUAUAUAUAUAUAUAUAAUACUAUCGAUAGUAAACGAACCGUUUUACUACCUAUUUGUUUUCGAUGAUAGAACUUCCAAAUUGACAAUCGGCUCCGUUGAAUAUGAUCUAUACUACUUAAAGUGUUUAGAAAUCAAAUUUCAAAUUUUUUCGACAUCAUUUGCCUAAUGAUCAAAGGGUUUCAAAAUUUGUAAUUUUAAUUAAAUUGAUAAUGUAGGUUAGUUAUAACUGCUGUAUUUUCAGCCGUAUAUAUCUCUAACUAUACUGUAUUUAUAAUUACAUCUAACAAAAACUGCCUCUUAGUGCAUCCAUGUCCCUUAGUGCAUCAAUAAUAUAUAUAUAUAUAUAUAUAUAUAUAGUUGAGCUAGAAUGCUAUCGGUAGCAAACUAGCUCCGUUGCCACCCAUUUGUUUUCGAUGAUAGAGUCUUUAAAUUGACGAUCGACACCGUUGAACAUGAUCUAUACCACUUGAAGUAUCUAAAAACCAAAUUUCAAAUCAUUUCGACAUCAUUUACCUAAUGAUCAAAGGGUUUCAAAAUUUGUAAUUUGAAUGGUAGAUAUAAAACGUUUUCUCGUUUAACGAUGUAAAACUAUCCAAAUCAAUUGAAUUUUGGUUAGAAAAUUCUUUAAACUAUUUAGAAUAAGAUCUAUACUCUCGAUCUUGAUUACAAAAUUCAUAUCAUCACUUUUUAGAGAAUAUUCAUUUUCAGCCGUUUAUUUUUACGCUCACUUGAUGGACAAGAGAACAAUAUCGAAAAAAUAUGAAAUUUGAUUUCUAGAUACUUCAAGUGAUAUAGAUCAUGUUCAACGGUACCGAUCGUCGACUUGGAGGCUCCAUCAUCGAAAACCAAUUGGUGGCAACGGAGCCCGUUUGCUACCGAUAGUAUUCCAGCUCAACUCUCUCUCUCUAUAUAUAUAUAUAUAUAGUUGAGCUAGAAUACUAUCGGUAGCAAACGGAUUCCGUUGCCACUCAUUUAUUUUCGAUGAUGGAGCCUCCAAAUCGACGAUCGACACCGUAGAAUAUAUGGGGCAAUUUCAUAGAUGCCCUUUCUAAACUUUAAAAUAUCAUAUAUACCCUUCUAAAAUUUAAAAUAUCAUAUAUACCCCUGUAAACAUCAAAAAUUAACAUCAAUACCCCUACUGUUAGUUAUUCUAACUUUACCAUAGUUAUUAAAUAGUUAAAGAUGGGUUAACUUUUAAUAUGACUAGUUUACCCUCAACUCCUAUAAGUAAAAAUGCAUGGAGAUCCCUCAGCUAUAUGUCAUUUUAAAACAACUCCCUCAACUUUUAUAUUUUAGUUGACAUCCCAUUAAUUUUUAAUUUUUUAAAAAAUUAACUAAUUUUAGUGCACGGAAAAUGAGAUUUUGUCCAUUUUUUUAUGAUUUAACAAAAUCUAGUGGCUCUAUUUAUAUUUUAGCAAAUAAAUAACUAUGUAUAAAAAUUUAAAUAAAAAUAAAAGUUGAGGAUUUUUUUUUAUCUUUGUUUAAUCUUGGAAACUUGCAAAAUUUUUUAACCAAAAUUAUUCACGAUAAUUUUAUCUAUAUUAAAUGCAUUAAAAAACUGAAAUAUUAUAUAUUUUAGCUUUUGAACAAAACUCUCUCUUUUUUUUCAAUCGACGAAAAAAUGCAUGCAUAUAGUUAUAUAAUUUAUUUUUGAUUAAAUAAAAAAAAUAAAUCUAUCAUUUAUUUUAAAUUUACUAUUACUGAUUAGGAAUGUGAAUUGAUAUAGAUAUAUAUGAACCCAAUUUUGAAUGGGUGAUCUUAAUUGAUGCUGAGCAGGGAUAGUUUCAGUUAUAGAAGCAAAAAAAAAAAGUCUCAUUAUAUUCAAAUUCAGUUAUUGUUUUAGUCUAUAUCCAAACUAAACUUGAGCCGAAAUCCGAAACCAAAAACAAAACCAAAAUUAUAUAAAAACAUAUUAUAUAUAAAAUACAUUUUUUAUAUAUUUUUAAUAAUUAAUGUAUAUAUUAAUAAUUUAGUUUUAUAUUUAGUAUAUUAAAUUAGUUAAAUUUAUAUUUAUUAAAAUUGUCUUAAAAUACCUAUUAGUAAUUUUACUAUUGAUAAGAGAUAAAGGGUAAAAAUGGCAUUUAGAAAAUUUAAUCCCAUUUCUAACUGACUUUAACUAGUGGAGGGUAUGUAUGAAAAUUUUUUAUAUUUUGGAGGGUAUUCAUGAUAUUAUCAAUUUUAGAAGGGUAUUGAUGAAAUUAAAAGUCCCCAGAAGGGCAUCUAUGAAAUUAUCCCUAUAUAUAUAUAUAUAUAUAUAUAUAUAUAUAUAUAUAUAUAUAGAGAGAGAGAGAGAGAGAGAGAGAGAGAGAGAGAGAGAAUUGGGUUGAGUAGUAUUAAUAGUAUUUGANCACGAAACCAAACAAAGAAAUAAAACUCGACAAUAAAAAUAAAAUUUUCAAUCUUUCUAGUUUAAUACAAAUAAUUACUUCGAAUGUUUACGCAGGUAAAUUCUUUGCACCAAAAGAAAUAAUCAAAAAAUUGAACAUAUAUAUGUGUCCGGCUUAUACUAUCGAUAGUAUCAAUCUCUUGAUACUAUCGAGUUUUCUAUCGUUAAAUCUACUUUUUGAUCAUUUCCAUCCGUCAGAUUAUAUUAUUCAAUCAACCAUUUACUCAACCCUAGAAAUUUGUUAUCAUCUUAUCCGCAUAUUUUUUUAUCCAACGGUCGAAAAUUCGAUCGUACCAAACAAUUGGUACUAUCCAUGGUGUAGUAGCAUAAUUAUAUAUAUAUAUAUAUAUAUAUAUAUAUAUAUAUAAAAUAUUUUUUUUUGGAGAAGUUGGAGAAAUUAUUAAUGACUUCAUCAUUAUGGUGUUAACUCAUUAAUGGCUUAAGUCUCAUUGAUGGUCGUGCAAAGCCAACCACCCAUGUGACAACGAGAGCAUUCAUGGAGUGGUUUGGGAAUUAAUAAAAAUAAAAAGCUUCAUGUUUGACUUUGACUAGCGAAUCGCAGUUUCCCAUUAAUCAUUUGCAUCUUGCAAAACAUUCUAUACUAGUGGUGGUAUGUAUUAUGUAAUGAUCUUAAUAAAUAUACUAUAUUUGGCAACACCAAACUUGAAGUGCAUCAAAUUAAUUAUAAAAACUUAACCACUCUUUUGGAUAAUUCGUUUGCUUAAAGUUAAACUUUUGGUUCCACGAAUUUCGAAUUGAACAUGAUAAAUGCAACCAAAUCCGACUGUUUUACCCGUGAUUUGUCAUUUUUCCUUUCUUUUCCUUAGGUUUCCUUUUGUGUACUUUUGAAAAGCAGCUAACUUCCAAAGUAAAAUUCUACCAUUCACGUUUAUGCUUAAAUAAAUAACUAGAUUUCGAGAAUCUGUAAAUCAUUUUGGCCGCUAGCUGUUGAUCAGCCACUCUCUCUGGAUCGGUUAUUGGGAUUCUGUAACAAAAACGUCAAAUUAAAUUUUUAUCAUAAAUUCGUCUUCUUAGCAAAAAUUUGACACAACCACAAGAGAAAAAAAAUCAAAUAGAAAAUAUUGGUAAAAUAAGAUUCACUAAAAAAAAGAAAAAUUACACCUCACUUAUCUUUUAUACAGAGUAGCUUCAACUCCAGCCCUCUUUUUAAAUCUCUUUGUCCCCAUUUGUCUUAUGUAAAUUAUUAACCUACAAAACUUCUCUCAUAUCUUGUGCACUCAUGCACAAGAUAUAUCAAUAACUCACGCCUAUGAAAAGUCGCACACAUCCUCUUGCACCCACUUACUUGGUGCAUCUAAGUUUUUUUUUUUUUUUUUUUUUUUUUUUUUUUGAGAAUUAGGUAGCGAGUUACCUGCUUCAUUUGGUGCAUCUAAAUUUAUGACCAUUUUGGCGAGGCCACAUGCACAAAAAAAAAAUCUAAUUAAUAUUUAAAUAUUAAUUAAUUUAUCUUCAACGGAUUAAAAUAUUUAUCCUAAUUUAAUUAGUAUUCAACUAUAAUUUAAUCAAAUCAUAACAUAAAUACACCUUUCCCUAUUUUAUUUUACCUCUGUUAGCAGGAGGCACAAAUUGAUGACAGCAUGUGCGCAAGAAAUCCACUCAUUCAAUCUUCAAUAAAAGGAGAGCGCCAUCCCAUCCCAAACUUUCAAACUGAUCCUCCGAUCACUGCAGUAAAUUUCUCUAAACCCAGCUGCAGCACACAUGUGUGUCGUUAAAUUCUGAACCCAGCGAAUAUAGAAACAUUUUCCCCAUAUUUUGAAGAAAAUAAAAUUCCUUUUCAGAGGAGAACGUAGAAACAUAAAGCCCUGCAUCUACUACGAGUUGUCGCCAAUGCCCCCUAAAAGUUGAUGGGGCCAGAUAUUCAAGUUUCUGUGAUCCCGUUGAAAAAGCAAAAGCUAACACACUCAAUUUAAUAACUGCAGUUAUGAUAGCUCCAUGUCCCCUAAAUUUGUGGAGUAGUGAAAAGUGCAAGAACUACAGAAACUAGCAAACAAAUUAAUUGUGUUUAUGACUAGCCUCCGUCUUCCUAAUAUUUACAUUUUUCAGUUUGUCCCCAGCCACUCAAUUUUUACGGUUCAGUCCUAACAUUAAACAUGAAGUUUUCUAAUAAAUACCCAAAAACCACCCAACAAGGUCUUUCCAAACUAGCACUUUAUUUUCAACAAAAAAAGCACUCCAAUAAUUAACUGAUGGAGGAGUCCGGCUACUAUACUUUUAUGAGUAUUAGUUUUUUUAUAUUCAUAAGUUUUCGGUUCUUAGAUUUAUUCUAUUGAUCAUUUGCACCCGUUAGAUCAUACUAUUCAACCAACUAACCACUCAACCCUAGGAGACCAUUAUCAUUUUAAGUGGGGACCACCAUCAUCCUAACCACACAUUCUAUCGAUCAAAAGUUAGAAAUUUAUGAGUAGAAGGGGGUCUAUACUCAUAAGAGUAUAGCCCAGCCCUGAUGUAGAUACUAGGAACUUAAUUGUAAAAUUAAUAAGUUUGCAGGGGCUCAAGUAAGAACUGGACUAAUAAAGCUGCGGAGAAAGAGCUAUGCUCUUUUUACUUAUUCUGUUCUUCUCAAUUCUGCAGUUCAUUUAUUGCCAGAUCCUCGAGCUUUCCACUAAUUACGCCUAUAUUUCACUUUUCUCCUACUCUCUCUCUCUCUCUCUCUCUUUCUCUCUCACUCUCAUCCCCAUCAUUAUUAUUACGACAACAAAAAGGGAGAUCCUUUUCCCUCACAGCUUCUCUUCUCUCUCUACGCCCUUUCUCUCUUCCUCCCCUCCAUUGACAGAGAGAGAGAGAGAGAGAGAUGGAGGGAGGGGAAAAAGGGGUAGCAAUCGAUGAGGGGGGCGUGGUGGGGGACGAUGAUGGUGUCGGGGCAAAGGGGGAGGAGGAGUUUUUAGGGCUCAAGCUGAGGAGGGGGAUCGCGGCGGGGAGGAGGAGGGCGGGGCCGUGCACGCCGGUGCCAACCUGGAAGCUGGAGGACUCCGCCGGGCCCCCGCCGCACGCCGAGGCCGCCGCCGCCGCCGCCGUCGCCGCCGCGCCGCGGCGGAGCUCCGUCUCGGCGCGGAAGCUCGGGGCCAACCUGUGGGAGAUCCACGACGUGCUCCCGGAGGCGCCCGGGAUGCGGCGGCGGAGCCACCGGAUCCGCCGCCAUCACCGCGAGCGCGGCGCUGGCGCCGGCGAGGGACUCGACGACGAUCGCCCCGACCACUCGCCGCUUAACCCCAUCGAUAGGGUGAGAUUUUGGUCGAUUUGUGCGAAAUUGGUUCUCUUUUGGGUUAUUUUCAUGCGUAUAAUGCAUGCUCUCCCAAUUAAUUCAUUGUACAUCUCCUAUCCCAACGAACAGUUUAGAAACGCAAAAUGGAGAAGCGAACUGGGGAAAUGGUAUUGAUCUUUGAGGUGAUCAACUUCCCCAGGUUAAAGCAUUACAAAAUAAUUGUAACUUUUUGAUGAAAAAGAUUCAAAUCUAUAAUGCGGAGACAAAGAUUGAGCCUUGAGAUUAAUUAAUAAACUGAGGAGGUCGCAGGAUCCGUCUCAUAUAUAUACUUUACGAACUAAGUGAGGUUCUUAUAUUUCUCGGCUUACAAUUUCCAUGGCUUGAUUGAUUGCUCUGUGAAAAAUGUAGUUGCGUUAUUUACCCGAAAAGUUCCACUUUAAUAUAAUAUCUACCCUUGGAAACUGUUGAUUUUUGGAGAACAUCUUUGUGAGAGGAGAGCACAUUACCUACUGUUUGAUCUUCUUUUUGCAAUGAACACCUUCUCAAUAUUUUUCGCUCUUGCAGUUUCUCUUGUAAGAGGCAUAAUCCUUUGAUGGAAUCCUUCAUUUGUUUACAAGAUAUCUGGACUUGAGUCGAAAUGUAAUCCUCCAUAUGAAAGAGUCUGAUCGACCUCUGAAAACUUGCUCUUUGGAGUUGGAUAUUCGCCUUCAAUAUUUCCCACACUUGUGCUUUUGUCCUCAAAAUCUUUGUUUUGUCUCAACUGGCUCUUCCGGAACUAUUUUUCUUCUUCUAAAGUUGACUUGCUUCAAGCACGAUUAUGUUGAUCAGCUGAAAUUGAAACAUAGGAUAUUCUUCUUACAGGCAACUAAUCAAUGUGUUGGAUGAUGGAAUCAACUAAUCGUGUGCACAGUUAUCAUCGUGAACAACCUGACAAUCAAGAAAUUGAGCAGUAGAAAAAGGGCUCUUGCUGUCUCUGUUAUUUUGUGAAUGUUUUGUAGCCGAUGUGAAGACAUAACCCUUCUUUGAACAUUUCUGACAUCUAUUUCUCUAAUCAAUCUUGAUCUCCAUUAAGAAGUUGCAAAUCACCCUGCAUACUCUGUGAUACUAGAUGCUUGCCGAUUCAAACUCAAGUUUGCAUUUUCAUUGUUGGAUCUAGAUAAAAAAGAAACAUCAUAUUCCUAGCAUAAAGACUUAUAUUUAGAAGGGAGGAGAAAACAGUUGCCAUGAAAUUUUUGUGGAGACAAAACUGAAUUUCCAUCAUCAAUUGAAUUUACUCCAUAUAUUGGUAACAGCCCUAUCCUUGGCAUGUUGCAUUAUUCCACGCUAACUUGAAGUUUAGUUAUUCGGUUCACUUUGUUCAAUGUCUCCCUGUCAUUCGCUACUUACUAUAACAUUGAUCACUUCAGCCGCAGAGUUGUGGUAGUCUGAGGAGAUAUAUUGCGUCAUCAUUGAUCCAACAUCACAAGGUGAAUGAAAGGAAUAGUCGAGCCCUGCAACCUAUAUCUCCUGCAAGUUAUAGUAGCUCAAUGGGGGUAAGUGUGUAAAAGCUAUCUUUCUCUUGCUUGCUAGUUUCUUGUUCACAUGUUAAGGCAUUUGUUUUCGAAUGAUAUAAUUGAGACAUAUUUGAACAGAAGAAUAGUAUUUUUACCUCGAUGCUUGUGGUCAUAUAAUUUAUAAAAACUGACAGUUGGGAUUUUCUUGAGAAACAUGUCAAAUUUUCUUCUAAUUGUUUAGCUAUGAUAUUUUUUGUGCUUAUCACAAUAAUAUCAUUGAUUGUAGUAGAGACAUUGGAAUAGUGAGUCUACAUGCAGUGAGAUAGUGUCAGACCUUUCAUGUUUGGUGAAAGCAUUGGCAGCUUAAAGUAAGGACUCCUUCAAAAGUGCAUGUUAACACUGUAAAAUCAUUAAUUCAAACACAAACACAUUAAGGCAUUUGGAGUCCGAGUGUGUAUCUUACAUGGUUUAUUACAUGUUUGGGAGGAUAAUUGAUGUCCCACACUAAAUGUAAGAAAUUAUUUAGCUUAAGCUGUUUUAUCAUUUAUUUUUUGCAUGCCUGCUGUAUCUUAUUUGUUUCUUGCCAGGUAAAUAAUUCAUUUGUGUUUGAAGAUGACUACCAAGUUAUUUUGGAUGCAAAAUUUGCUAUUUUAGUUUAGUAUGCUGGUGUAAACAUCACAAUUGAACCUCUCUUGAGGAAUAAUAUAAUUUUCGCUUCCAUGUCUAUUCAUGUGAUCUCUGCUUUUCUCAGGUUGCUGCUAUUAAUCAAGCGAUAACUCCUAGUAGUUCUUUGGAUCUCCACAGAAGGCCCGAGGGGGCAUAUAGUCUUAAAACAUCGACGGAAUUGCUGAAAGUUUUGAAUCGAAUUUGGAGCUUGGAAGAACAGCACACGGCCAAUGUAUCGUUGGUUAAAGCAUUGAAAGUAGAAUUGCAAAACGCACGUGCCCGUAUUCAAGAGCUUAUGCAAGAACAACAGAGCUACAGCCAAGAAGUGGAUUCAUUAAUGAAGCAACUUUCAGAAAAUAAAGUGAUUCAGAAAAACAAAGAGCGAGAAAAAAUUAAAUCAGCAGUGGAGUCGAUGCGAGAUGAGCUUGAGGACGAGAGGCGGUUGAGAAAGCGUUCUGAGAGCCUUCAUAGAAAACUAGGCAGAGAGUUGUCCGAAAUAAAAUCAGCAUUCCUAAAGGCCGUGAAAGAUUUGGAAAUGGAGAGAAAAGCAAAUCAACUACUUGGAAACCUUUGUGAUGAGUUUGCGAAGGGAAUCAGAAAUUACGAAGACGAAGUGAGGGAUUUGAAGCAGAAGACUGGAAAGGAUUAUGAAUAUAAAUUUGAUAGAUUAAUUCUUCAUAUUUCUGAAGCAUGGCUAGAUGAGCGAAUGCAGAUGCAAAUGGCUGAAUCAAGGGGAGAUUUGGUUGAAAGAGAUAACUCGAUCACGGAGAGAUUAAGUGGUGAAAUCCAAGCUUUUCUUCAAAUGAAGUGUUCAGCUAAUUCUAAGGAAUAUGAUGCGAAUCUGAUCGACAGAAAAAGAGAGAUUAACUUGCGGCGCCAAUCUCUCGAGUCUGUCCAUUUGAAUGGGCCUACGAGUGCGCCGCAGGAUGGUGAAGAUGACGAUUCUAUCGCGAGUGAUUUGCACUGUUUCGAACUUAACAUGGGCGAACAUGAAAUCAAGAGCCAUGAACAGCUAAAAGGAACUUAUGGCAACGGCGUAGAAAGGUUGGAUUCGGCAAGGAAAUCUUACUUCCGAGGGAAAAAGAUAGAGUUUCCUGAAAACAUCACAGAUCAAAGUGCAUCUAGCUCGCAAAUGCUUAUUGGGCAAAAAGAGAAGAAAGAGUCAGGCAACAGAGUACAGAAUACUACCUCAGAACAUGGUGCUCAGAUCGGAGUCAGAACACUCAAGAAUGAGAUUAAUAUGGACCGUAAGUUUGAAGAAAAUCAGUGUCAGGAAGGUGACGCGAGCAUAACACCAGAGCAGAACAAUGUUCAUGGAGCGAGCCGCCUAAGUGAAAGUUUUGAUUUUGUAGAAUGGAAGGCUAGAUUCGGCGAAGGAACCAGUUCAGAAGAUUUGCACAACCACCACCCUCCGUCGUCCAAUCUCGAGAUAUCCGAAUCCUCAUCGAAACUAUCGCAGGGCGUGAGAGAGAACACUUUGAAGGCAAAAUUACUUGAAGCAAGGUUAGAGGGGCGGCACGCCCGUUUGAAAGCUUUGAGAGGCUCUUCAAUUACCCGAACGAAGCAACAAACAAAGCCAUAAAAGGUACCACUCUCUAGGGCAAAGAUGUUGCAUGUUCUUCUGCAGCUCUCUCUUUCCUCCAGUAGUUUUGGAAAUUCUGUAUAUGAUGAGCAACAAAGUAUGUGGAGGACUACUCACUACCAGCUUUACUACCAAGUAUAUUUUGAUUAGGAUUUUUGAGUAUCGUGUAUAGUAUCGGACUCAAGUAUAUAACUUUCAUUUGAAUGAUAUAUCUCCCUUCUUUAUCCAUAUUUUGUUGUGCAUGUAGUUAACUGUUUUUACUAGCAGUAAAAACUAACCUUAACAUCUUCAAAUGCAUGCCCUGAAUAAUUUGCUAGUUACGCUUCAGAGAGUAAUUCUAAAUUGGUAUCAACUGAUGAUGAAAUUGGAAACUGAUUUGUUGGAGGUCAACUUUCUCAGAGAACGAUGGAGAAUACUGAACUUAAUUUUCUAUUCUAAUCCCAUGUUAAAUUACAAUGAAACAAUCCUUGUUCUUAGUUUAGAAUAAUAUUGAUAAUAUUCUAUGAUCAACAUCAUGUAUUACGGACAUUUCUAUAAGCCUCGUAUAUCCGUGUCUUACAUGUGUUUGUAUCUGACACGUGUCAUCAUGUAUUAUGGACAUUUCUAUAGGCCUCGCAUAUCCGUAUCUUACAUGUAUUUGACACGUGUCCGAUGUGGACACUUUUUGAAGGCGCGUUCAAUGCUGAUUCGUAGUACUUAUAAUUAAAACAAUUGUAUAUAUAUAUAUAUAUAUAUAUAUAUAUAUAUAUAUAUAUAAAAUGUAAGAUGAUAAAUAUUUUAGUUUUUGAUUAAUACAUAUAAAUUUUUUUUGAUAAUAUAAAAAAAAAAGUAUAUAUGGUGGAGAAUUUUUUUAAAAAAAUAUAUGAACUAUUAAUAAAAUUUUAUUAACUUUCGGUAACUUUGAAAAAUAUAACAAUAUUUUAUAAAAAUUAAUAUUUUAUAUAUAAUAAAAAAUAUUAUUAUAUUAAUAAUUUUAUAUUUUAUUAGUAAUAUACAUGUCGUGUCCGUGUUUUAAUUUUCUGAAAGCUACCGAAUUACCGUGUUCAAGUUGAAUCGUGUUUCGUAUUUAGUGUCUAUUUGCCUACCUUCAACAUCGAAAAACAGAAAAAAGAGUCGCAUCAGUUUAGAGGUGGGUGCUAAUUCGUAUUACGUGUCUAUUUGCCUACCUUCAACAUGUAGGCACUAAAAAAAGGGGAAAAACAGAAAAAAGAGUCGCAUCAUUUUAGAGGUAGGUGCUAAUGGCGGACAUCGUUGACAAAUAUUGCGCCCGAUUAGUCGAGUGACUUACUCGGGUGAAAGAUCCACCGACAAAAAUAAACAGUACGAAGGCUCAAUCUCAACAGUUUAGCAACCUUUGAUUAAAACAAUAAGCAACAGCGACGUGAAUAAUAAUAAUAAAUGUUUUACAAUCACAUCAUAAAUAUAUUGAUCGAGAUGCGGAUUAAAUUUGGUCUAUUUCUUCGUUAAUUUUCAGUUUUGAAUAACUGGAACAAGUUUCCGAUUAAACUCGAGUAGUUUGAAGUAACUUAAUUUUUCGAUCAAAGAAAAAGGUAAAAAAAGGGGAAGGAAAAAGAAAGAAUUAAAGAAGAAGCCGCUCUAGCUAUGAGACAUGCAUGAAAGGAUAUUUUGUAUGUUCAAAUAAACGUGAGUGUGGCUUCUGGGAGAUAAUUGAUAUUAAUUAGACUACUAUGUUUUGAUUUGCAGAAAAAAUGUAUUAUAUAUACUAGAAAAAAAAAAUUAUGUACUACAAAUAACACUUCGUUCAUUUUUAUACAUAAUAUCACUUUGAACAUAUAUAUUAUAAUUAGAGUGCAGCUAGAAUACUUAUAGAAGCACGGAGGGCUCCGUGCUUUCACUUUAUUUUCGAUGUUCGAACUUUCGAAUCGAUGAUCGGCUCCGUUAGACUUGAUCUAGAGUAUUUGAAGUCUAUAGAAAAUAAAUUUAGCAAUUUUUCGAUAUCAUUUGCCCAGUGAUCGAAGUGGCUCAAAAUCAACGGCUGAAAAUAAAAAUCUUACAAAAUAUGAUGAUAUGACAUUAAAAUUUUAGAUCAAAGUUAUUGAUCUUGUUUUAUAUGGUAUAAAGAAUUUUCUAUCAAAAUUUCAUGUAAUUUGGAUAUUUCUACACCGUUAAACUUGCAACCGGCUCACUACGGCCAUUAAAAUUAUUGAUUUUGAGCCCCUUCGAUCACUAGGCAAAUGAUAUCAAAAAAUCACAAAAUUUAUUUUCUAGGUACUUCAAAUACUCUAAAUCAACUCUAACGGAGCCGAUCGUCAAUUCGAAAGUCCGAACAUCGAAAACAACUUGGAAGCACGGAGGGCUCCGUGCUUCCUUAAGCAUACCAGCCCACUCUUAUAAUUAAGAGAUUACAGUAUAUUUUUUAUGAUCCCACCGUAUAAUAAAAAAAUACAUUUUCAUAUACUUGCGCCACAAUUUGGUUUCACAAUAGAUGGAUCUUAGCACCCACUACCAUUUUUAUUAUCUACCAAAUAAAUAUAUUAUGUUUUACCAAAUUAGAUUGUUUUGCCAUGUGAACAAGGUAAAAUACAACAUAAAUAUUUUUAAAAACAAAGGUAUAUAAUGUUGUUAAUAAAACUAAUUUAGUUUCAAAUUAUAGACGAAACUAAUCACGUUAAAAGCCUUGGUGAGACUAAAUUUGAAAAAAUACUUUUUUUACAAAUAUAAGUUAUAUUCACGUCCUCCCAAAUUAAACUUUUUCACCAACUAAGUAUUAUUCUAACAUUUUGUAAGAUAUUUUAAAAUUUAUUUGUAAAUUUUGUGUCCUACUUUAAUUGCAUUGGUAACAUGCAUUGGUAAUAGCAGGGAAACAUGGCACGUAUAAAGGAGAGCUUAUCCUCACGUAUAAAGGAGAGAUUAUCCAUGUAGGUUACAACGUCCAGUAAUUUACAUUUCCCAGUAAUCCAACAUGCAUAUAAAAUUUACUUUUUUUUGAAAAAAAGUAGCAAGCUACCCGCUUCAUUCAUCAAGCAAAAUAAAUUUGGCUAACAUGAUGGAAGCAGCUAAGGCCUCCUAAAAAAGCAGAAAAGAAGGAGAAGAAAGAACAAAAAGCGAAAGUACAGAUCGAUCUAGAGAGACAUUAAGUUAAAGAAGUCCAGGCAAUCAUCAAGUUAGAUACGCGCUGAAGAGCCCUGGUAGCAUUAGGAAGGUAAUGAUUGAAGACGGUGUUGUUACGUUCCGUCUAGACGACCCACCAAAUUGCCGUCAUGUUGGUUAGACGUUUCGUUCUGUUUGUAACGUCCGGGAUGUUAGAAUAAUUUGCCCAAAGAUGUCGCACGUCUCCCGGUCCAAAGUCAGUUGUGUCGGAGAAUCCCGAGUUGAAAAAUAGAUAUCUGGCGAAAACACAGUUGCAAAAGAGAUGAUCACAACUUUCUGAGGAAAUAGUACAGAAAACGCAAUGCUGAUUCACGGGGCAGCCUCGAAGAAGCAGUUUAUCGACAGUGAGAAGUCUUUUGCGAAGCAAUAACCAGAUGAAGAUUCUGAUUUUGACCGGAGCGAGUAAACUCCAAACGUGUACGUAUGUCGAGUCUCUCUAUCCUGCGUCAUUAAUAAAGUUGUAUGGGGAUUUAACAUGCAUAUAAAAUUUACAAGGCUCUGAUUUCCAGGCCACAGAGAUGUUGCUUUUCCCUACUCCCGUACACUCCCUACAAUUAAUAUUAGCUCCGAUUAAAAGGCCAAUUAUGGUUACAACUAAAAAGAAUGCUUAAUUCUCAUGCUAAAAAUCUUUUUCCCUUUUAAUUGUUAAUUUUUUUUAUUGAUCAUAGAUUAUAUCUUUUCAUUUUACAAAUAUAUGUAUAAGAAAAUACAAGCUUUGUAUACCAAAAUAAAAAAAUUUAAAUCUUGCACCCAUCCUAUAAAAAAGUACAAAAUUUCCAGGCGUUUCCAGAUGUAGAUAGCAUUGCUCGUGUGUGUGUGUGUGUGUCUAUAUAUAUAUAUAUAUAUAUAUAUAUAUAUAUAUAUAUAAAGCAAAGAAUGAACAUAGAGUUUGACUGCAAAAAUAAAAGAAAUUUUUUUUCAGAGUUUACAAAGCAGACUCUUUAUCAUAUUAAAGCUUAAUUUAAUAUUAAGAUAUAUUUGACACUAUUAGAUAAAAUUAAGUUAGAAAAAAAACAUAUAGAAAUAUAUUUCUAUAUUUGUCCAUAAAAUCAUACAAAAUAUAUCAUAACCGAAUCACCAAAUCAUUGCAAUAUGCGGUAUACAAAAACAAAUAGAUUAUUUUUCUAUCGUACUUUUAUACCGCACGUAACACAAUUUUUUCUUAAUUCCAAACAAAACCUAAAUACAUUUAACACCUUGUAAUGAAAAAAAUUUUGAAACCAUUUUCAAUUUUUAGUAUUAAAAGUAACAAAUAAAACAAACAUAUAAAAAUGAGUCUUCGAUUGUCGAAAAUAUCUAUCCCUUAAUUUAUAAUCGUGUGCACAAUAUUAAAUAUAAAAAUAUAAAAAUAAUUUUUUUUAACAUUUUAAACUUUAUCCGAUGAUAAAUAAAUAAGUACAGUUGUACACUAAAAUUUUAAACUAAAAAGUUAAACCGGUAAAAUAUAAUAUUAUUAUAUUUAAGAGAUAGCCUAACCUUUCGAGGGGAAUAAAAAAUAAAAAUAAAAAAAAUAAAAAAAAAAAAAAGCUCAACACUUAUGUUUUCUUACUUAACACGUCAUGUUCUCGAAAAUUAAACAAUACUUUACGUAGCAUACCAAAAGACUCGCAUCGCUUUCGAGUUUCAUAAUACUCAAAUAACAAAACUGUUUAUCCGAACACAAAUAUUUGAGAAAAAUUGCAGUGUGGGGAAAUUAAUAAUACCGAAGAAAAAUAACUUCGAAGAUUUAUUCAUCAGUUUGAUUAGACAGGAUAGAGAUUUAAAUCGGUCCAAAUUAAUGUGCCUCAUUAUUUCCUAAUAAAUACGAUUAAUCUUAAUUAACUAUCCAACUUUAAUAUGAAAAAUACAAAUCCAAGUAACAGCAGCUUCAGCUAAUAAGCCCUGGUAUACUUCCAUUACGUUGCACCUGCACUAUCAAUCCUCCAUUAAUAUCUUCUUUUUUUAAUAAAAACUGGAAAAAAAAAUUAACCCCAGUUAAUUUUAUUACAAGCUAUAUACACAUUACAACAUACACAGUUAAAAAGAGUAAAUAAAAGACCAAAAUACAAGUAUCUCAACCUAUUAUACAUCACAAUAUAUAACAUAAAAUUAAACAGCCUACGAUAUAAGCUGAGACUAGAAAUAAAAUAGAAUCUUGUGAAAACCUAAAAAUAUUCCCAUUAUUUUUUUUUCCAUACAGCAUUGGAAAACCUAUCAUUUCGAAAUGGCUAGUAAUCCUUCGCUAGUAUAUAAUUACAAGUAAACCAAGCCUAUAAACAUAAAAAACCAAAGAGAAACUUAAUUAGAAGCAAAACAAAGAGAACUACCAUACUAAAAGAAAAUGCUAAAUGGUAACAGGGAAAAAAGAUGCAAAUUAAUUGCAGGUAUCAACACAAUACACCAAAUAAAAAUUUUGCUUCGACAAAAAAAAAAAAACAAAGAAAAAAGAAAAAGAGGAGUUACACCAGUAAAAGGACAAACUUUUGGGAAGAGUACAGCCUAGCAGAUUUGCAACAAGACCACCACAAUUUGCGCAUGCAAAACAACAAUAGACGACAAACUUCUUGCAAAUGGCCAAUUACAACAACUUCUAGCAAAUGACCAGUUACAGAAGAAGAACAAAAUCAUCAACCCAAAAAUUUUCCAUGAUAUUAGCUGGAUAUAACAGAAGAGGAUGUUAAAUACUCUGGUUCCAAUGUGUCAAAUUAAAGAAGCAAAAUGCAAACCAGAUAAUGUAAAUCCACAUUCAAAAACUUUGGUAACACGGCAAUGAUCUAUACAUGAUAUACAGCUCAAGUCAAAAUCUAUUCUGCAGAUAAGAGUUUCUUCUUCCCACGGUACAUAGAGAAAGAAAAAGGGUGCUUUUUGACGCUACAUCUGCACUACAACAAAAAUGGUCUAUAGCGACACUUUUAAAUGUUCGUACAGGUCAAAAAAAGUGCUGCUAGCUAAAUUACCGACAAUUUUAAAAAGUGUUGCUAUAUUUAGGAUCACUAGGUAUAUAGUGACAGUUAAAGAGUGUCGCUAUAACCUAAAAGAAUGCUGCUAAUUUACCAACACUUAUUUAAGUAUUUAGUAACCGCCGAAACUCUAUCUUGUUGAUUGUGGUGACGAAGGAGGACGACAGGGAAGGAUUCUUUGUCUAGAAUUUCAGUGGAUUGAGUGAAGAGAGAAGGGGAGAUAGUAAUCGAUUUUUCUUUUUUUUUUCUGUUUGUAAUCGGCCCAAAUGGGCUGGAUGGGAUGAGUUGAGUAGAGUAAUCUUUUAUUUUUGGUUGGAUUGGACUUUAUAUUUAGGCAUUAGUAGAUGUUUUUUUAAAUUUUAGCAUAAAUAGGACACUUACAUAAAAGUGUCCCAAACAUGUGUCCCUAUAACCUAAUUCUGUUGUAGUGCUGGCCGAUUUGUACAUACCACUUAAUUAUUAUCAACUCAAACAAACAAAAUCAUAGCAUACCAAUAAUUAUUAGCAAUUCAAACAAACAAGAUCAUAGCAUUAAUUAAUAUCCUACUAGCUAUUAUUUGAUUGAGACUAUCUACGAGUUAAUGGAAUUUGACUUUCUUGAAGUCAAUAUGCAUUUGCAAUAAUUAUCAUCAUUCACAAAUCUCCAUUUUCUGCAAAAACUAUAGAGGAAAUUAAUGGUGUGAAAAGAUAAUCGUUGUUGAUCCCAUAACUAUUCUUUUACAGGAACAACACCUAGGAUACAACUCAUAAUAUAUGAGCAACAUAGCUUAUUUAUCCAGUAUUCUAUCACGACUAUCAAAUAUUAACAAAUAUGCUAAGUUUUUAUCCAAAAGGAAUUAAUAACUAGACUCGAUCAGCACGCACGUUGAUGUCGAUCUCAAUUAGCCAUAGGAGGUGAUUAGUCACAGAAGAAGGAAAGAAAAAAGGUAUAGCGACUCUGCGAAAUACUGUGCUUCUCGAGCAAAUUCAAACAAACCCAUACAAAAGCAGAAGUAAACUACGGAAAAUUAUCAGUUAUAUAGAGACCAACUACAAGAGAUAUGUUUUCACAAACAUGUAAAGACCGGUGAAUAAUUAGAGAGCCAAAUAGUGCUAAAAUAUUGUUCCUGUAAGAGUUACAAGACAGGCAGCUACCAAACAAGAACAUACAUCGAUCGAUCAUAUUCAAUAAAGAGACGACAAAAUAUAAAGGAAAUCAAAAAGGUUGAGAGGUAAACCAACCUGCCCACAUGCAUUGCCACAUGAUCGAUUGAUUUCCAUAGUCAAAGCCAUCAUUUAUGACCUUGCUUAGUUAGGGCAAUGAAAUUAAUAAGAACAAUGCAAAGGAAUUAACUAGGUGUAAAUAAACAAGGCAGGGUAUAAUUUCUCAUGAGAAGAAUAUAUUCCUAAUUGACUGAGAUAAUGAUGAAAAAUCUUCAUUUAACAUUUUGAUCAUAUAUACUGUUUUACCAAGAAAAAUGCGACUUGAUCACACUUUUACAAUUUAUAUAUGUAAUCUUACCUUUACUGUUUACUAAACAAGGGGGGAUUAUAAUUAUCGAAGUAAAAUGUCAAUAUUAGGCUUAUUGAAAAAAGCAUUUAGAGAAGCACUCCCCAGAAUUUUUUUUUUUUUAAGGCAGCUUAUAAAGAGAGUACUUACAAAAUGGUGACAAAAGAAUAUGAUCAGUAUUUCACAGGAUAUCCAACAUUCCCAUUACCGCCAGCAAAAGAUGGAAUGCAUGUUUUGCUAAAUGUGCAAAAAUUAAGAUCAAGUAAAAAGGCGGAUGCACUAGAAGAAGAUAAAAAAUCCAUCUCCAAAUUCAGCAAUAAGAGCCAAGCUUACAGUUUGGUUAUUACAUUAUUAUGAUCACCAGUAAGAAAAUCAACUUAGUAAAUGAAUAUAGCAAAAUUUCAAGAUAUAAAUGGUCAAAUAACGCGGCUCACUUAUAUCUAGUCAGGUUAACAACCAUACCAAAUAAGUUGCAGUUCACAUUGAAAGAACUAACAAAAAACAGUUGCAAGAUACAAUAGAAAAUAGUGAACAGUGAUUACCAACAACAACCAAAAAAAAAAGUUAAGAAUAAAAUAACAGCAUGUUAUAAGUUUUUUAAAUAGAUAAGAAGUCACCUGAAGUAAUAGGACAAAGAAAACUUUAAGUUAACUUUAGAUACAUGGCAUAAUUCGAGAACCUUGACUGAUUUAAAGCAUUCAAAUCUAGGAACUUGGAACUAUAAUAGCAAAACUCGAGAACUAAAUAAUUAAAGUGUAAACUGAUUCUCAUUGAAUUCCUACAACGCUAAAGCAAGGCAUUAGGGUUUCCCGAACUACUGGCAACAAAAUACCCUGAACUAAUAUAUAAAACAUUAGGGCUUCCAAGCACCACCCGCAAAAAACACUUAAUUAAAAUAAUUAAAGAGAAAGAGAGGUAGGGUCAUAUAUUAAUCUAUAUUUAUCUGAGCGUCUGAUGUAUAAAACGGAAAAAAAAAAUAAGGCGAAAAAAAUAAAGGAAAAAAAAAUCUGAUGCUAAAAUUAAGGAGUUGAAGGUUAAAUGCAUGCAAGUUUCAGAGUAAAAUGAAGACGCAAAUAUUUAACAGGAAAAAAAAAAAACCACAGUUAAUAUACAAAACUAUUAAGGAACGUACUAGGUCUUCAAAACUAUUUCUAUUGUUAUUAAGAUAUAGAAAGAUGGGAAGUAAUAAACUUUAAAUACUUGGGCAUAUAUCUGAAAAUACUUCUUUUAGAGUUAAAAAAAAAAAAAAACAAAAUCUAAUAAUAAAAAGGGAGUAAUUUCAUAAUAAAAUGCCCCAUACAUAUAAAAGAAAGAAAAAAUAUAUAUACGCGGAAAGAACUCGAGGAGCUUACAAGAUAUAAAAGCAGGUUAAACGCAAGGGAGGGGGAAAAAAAAUUAAUAAUAAUAACUACAAACUUUUAACAGCCAAAUAAUUUUCUAGCUCAUUGCUUUCAAAGAUAUGCUAAAAAGGAAAUAGCAGUAAUUACAAAAUGUUUACGCCUAAAAUAACCCAACUAUAAUAGGCACUACGCUGACACUGAAUAAUACUACAGAUACAUGGAUAUGAAUUUUUUUUUGAAAAAAAAUACCCUAAAGAUCGCAAAAUACAAAACUUAGAAAGCUAAAACAUUUGAGAUUCAUAGUAACUAAACAAUAAAUUCAGAGUAGAAGACCUAGAGGAACAAGGCUUCUAGAAAAUUCAAAGAGAGAGAGAGAGAGAUAGAGAGAGAACUUGGGUUUGGUAGAACAUGGGGCUAUAUGCAGUGAAGAAGAAGGGAGCUCCCUUCAGUCCAAGCAAGGAUGGCGUAGGAUCCAACUCAUCUCCCGCAUCAUUCACUCAUUUACCAAGCAAAGUGCACAUCUUUUUUGAUCACUUGGUAUGUGGAUGAAUGAGUCGGCAGCUAGUUCAAUCCCUCAACCGCCCUUGAGUGGGCUGAAGGAAGCUCUCUUUUCAUGUUUUGACGACAACAAACCCACCCUUAUAUAUAUAUAUAUAUACUUAAAACAAAGAACAAUAAAUUGCUACUGUGGCAACAACAUAUAGCUGCAAACACCAACCAGAAAAAAUGAUCAACAUAAGAGCAUGGUAAUGGAUGUUUUGGUGCUCAAAGAGAUGGGUGUAUAGUUGGGAGAGAUGUUUGAGAGAAGUAAAUUAAUUGAAGCCCGUUCUUACAACCUACAGUAAAACCCAUGAGCAGGUGAGAGAGGAGCUCAAAAUAAAGAAUUGUUUUAGUACCACUAAAUGCAACAUGUAGCAAUCAAAAGCCACGUGUAACCCCCCUCUCCAUGCUUUCCCAUAAAUAAAUAAAGAAUCCAUGUGAAAAUUAAAGGAGAAAAAAGAAAAACCGAGAUAGAUCAUAGAUAUAUCCAGCUAGUGUAGGAGAGGAAGUGAUAUAAUACCCUCAUCAGAAACAAAAGGAAGUGAGAAUGAGAAGCUCAAUGUUUGAAACAUGCGAAUUAAAGAGGAGGAGAGAUCAAGGAUUUGGUCGUGUUGCGUCGUAAUCGCUCUCACUCUCUCCACCGACUACAAACAGGGUUGAUUUUAAAAUAGAUAUGGAAAAAGGACGUUAAAUAGCGAAGCAGGCUAUAGAUGACAUCACAUCAUGCUGGAAAAAGAGAAAAGGGAAAAAUCGAAAAUGUCAUUUUCUCUCACAUGUUCACUUGUCUUCUUAAGUAGCAAAGAGAAGGCAAUUAUAUAUGUUAACUUAUUUGUUACUUAAGCAACGCCCAUUUGUGCAAAGGUUCUCUUGAUUUUGGACGUGUGUAUUGUGUGAAAAGAAAGAAUUAAAACGUCCCCAGCAAGUGUUAUAUGAGUUUCUUUUGAUUAUUCUUAAAACGCGAGGACUUCGAUUUUUGGUAUACUCACAUAUUUUUUAUAUACAAAUUAAUUUAGAAUAAUAACUAAUAUAUCGGUUGGUGAGUUUUUUAAAAUUUUAUUAUAGAUCAUUAUUCAGCUUGUAUUUUAUUUUGAUCAGAUACGGAAUAACAAUUUACUUAGAAAAUCACAAAAUGUUAGAAAAAAUUUUGUUUCUAAUUUUUUUAUAUAUUAAAUAUGUUAUAUUCGAAGACUAUGCAAAUUUUAUAAUUCACUCUUACCCUCUUUUAUACAAAUAUUCUAUAUAAGAUUAUUAUACAAAAGAUGACAUAAAUAUAUAUAGCAUUAUAGUUUUCUAAAAAUAAUAUAGAUUUUACAUUUUACUCGUCAAUAAUUAUUUUAUUUACACUCACCAUACUAAUAAUUGACUUUUUUUAAUUCCGUAUCAAGAAUCUAAUAAAAGAAUAUCUAUAUCAAAAGAUUGUGCGGUACAUAUUCCAAUUCUAAGCCUACAUAAAGAAUCGAAUUGAAUCCCUUAAUCAUCUAUUCUAAGGUAAAUUAAUGUUUGAUAUACAAUAAUUAAACAGAUCAUUUUUACAUUUAUUAUUUGUUACUAUAUUUAUAUUAUAUUAUAAAUAUAUAUAAUUUUUUUAGCAUUUUGUUUACUAUAAAGAUAAAAUUUAGGCUCCCUGAACUGACGAGGAUAGUAUGAUUAAAAGUUUGAUUAUUUUAUAUAUAUAUUAUUAAUUAAUAUGGAGUUUGAGUCUACACACGUGAAUCAAAAAAUUAAAAUUCCUUUUAAAUAUCAAAUUAAAAAUUAGAAAUAAGACAGGUGAGUAGAUAUUAGCCUUUCAAACAUUAGAAUGUAAGAUUUUAUACUUAAUUUUAAAUAACUAGGCUGGAAUACUAUUAAUAGCACAAAUUACUUGGUGCUAUUAAGUUUUCUGUCCUUAGAUUAAAAGAUUAUGUGGGAUUAGGAUGAUGUGGGCCCUCUAGGAUUGAGUGAGUAGUUAGUUGAAUAGUAUAAUCGAACGGAUGAAAAUGAUAAAAAAAAGUAAAUCUAACGGCAGAAAACUUUAUAGUACCAAAUACUUCAUACUAUCGAUAAUAUUCCAGCCGGACCCAAUAUUAAAUAUAUAAAUGGUAUUGCCAUUAAAAACAAAGUUUAGAUAAAUGAGUAGAUUCUAACCGUCUAAAUAUUAGAAUGUAAUUUUAUACUUAAUUUCCAAAUGUACAAAUAGUAUUGCUAAAAAAAAAUAUGAAGUAUGUAUUAAAGAAAAAAGCAAAAAUAACAUGAAAAUAAUGAGUAAAAUAAUAAUCAUAAUAAGAUUAAAAAAUUAGCAAAAAAAUAUUACUUAUAUAUAUUGCUAAACGAUUUAAAAAUUGAUUCGGAUCUAGUUAAAAGUUUGGAUUAAUUUCUUUAAUAAUCAUCUGAAAAUUCGUAACAUUAUAAAUAUUCUUUCAAAUUAUAAAAAUAUUAUUUGUAUUCUUAUAAAUAUAAGCCGUCUAGAGUUUAUGCGUUAUAUCUGAAGUUAAUUUGGACUUUGGAGAGAUAGUUGAGAUAUAUUAUAUGUAUAUUGAGGGUGAUAUAAAUGGCAUAUUUUUAAAUUUGAAAAGAUAUAAGUUAAUAAUAUUAAAUAUUUGGAAGGACCUUCCAAGUCUUGGAGAUGAAAUUUGAAAAGUGUGGAAAGAUAAGAUUCACACUUUAGGGUGCAUUUGAUACGUAUUAUGAAAGAUUAAUUACUAUAAAUAAAAAGAUAUCUGAGAAUUUUAUUUCUAUCUAUCCUAUAACUAAGAAUGUGACAUUUCUGUGUUUGGUUCGCACGAUCAUAUUAUUUAGUCAUAUCAUUUAAAAUUACAAACAAUAUACGAUCAAUUUAUUUAUUUUUUUAAUUAAUUUUAAAUAAUGGUACCAAAAAUUUCAACAUUCUUUUAGGAAAAAGGGAUAGAGAAUAUAGGUUAGAGAGAAAGAGCAUAAUUAAAGAAAUAGAAAGAGAAAUAGAGUCGAGGAAGUGAGAAAAUUGAGAUUUUAGAAAAAAAUAGAGAAUGGGAGCUUGGUUUAGUGAGAGAAAUAUAAGUUUAGAGAGGAUAUGAGAUUAGAGUGUAAAGAAAAAUAAUACCAAUUAACCGACGGAUAGAGAGAAGGAAAAAAAAAGGGAAAACUUCAAAACCCCCCCUGUGGUUUCACACUUUUUCAUUUUAGUACCCUGUGGUUUGAAGUGUAUCAAGUUAGUACCCUGUGGUUUCUCACUUAUCACUUUAGUACCCUGUGGUUUAAAAUGUAUCAAGCUAGUACCCUGUGGUUUUGCACUUUAUCACUUUAGUACCCUGUGGUUUCACACUUUAUCACUUUAGUACCUUGUGAUUUAAAAAACUAUAGGGUACUAACUUGAUACAAAAUUAAAACCACAGGGUACUAAAGUGAUAAAGUGCAAAACCACAGGGUACUAACUUGAUACACUUUAAACCAUAGGGUACUUAAGUGAUAAAGUGAGAAACCACGGGGUACUAACUUGAUACAUUUUAAACCAUAGGGUAUUAAAGUGAAAAAAAUUGAAACCACAAGGGGGGUUUUUGAAGUUUUUCCGAAAAAAAAUUAGACAUAUUAUGAUUACCCGAAUUUAUUAAUGUGAGGAUACUCACCCUCUUUCGAGAGAAUGAGAUUAGUAUUUUGGGAUGAAUCUCAUUCCUAAAUAAAUUUAAUAUUACUAAUUAGAUUACUUAAUACGUUUAGCCAAAUAUUAUUAUAUUUUUUAUUUUUAUUAAAUUAUUAAAAAAUUUAAAAAAAUAGCGUGAACAGCACUCUUAAAUCAUUUCUUUUUCUUUCUUAUUUUUGUUUUUUCACUUUUUGCACGUAGAGAGGUAGAUUCAUUCACACUCCAAAUUUCCCCGUGAUGGAGUACACGCAAAUUAAGUUACUAGUCCGAAACGUUCCCAUCCAAGGGUCCAAUCAAAUCAUCAUCAGAUAUAGAGUCCAACAUGUAACACAAAUACGAAUAAACGAACGCGUAUACCGGGGCCUUGUUUUCGUGUGUAGCCAAACGAGCCUACAUGCAAAAUAGCCACGCAACUGCAUUCGAUUCGAAUGUAAAUAAAAAUUAUUUAUUUUAAAAAUAAAUAUAAGUUGAAGUAUAAGUAUAAAUUAAAUUAAAUUUUUAUUUAAAUAAAAAUUAAAUUAUUUAAAAAAUAAAAUGAAUAGUAUUUGAAUGAUUAGAUUGAAAUAAGAGGAUUAAAAGUUAUAAAUUUAAAUUAAAAAUAAAUUAUCUAAUUAAUUAAUGUAACAAUAUUAAUUAAAAAUAAUUUAAUAAAUUAAUAAAUUUGUUAGCCACGAAUGAAUAUUAUAAUAAUUAAUAAUUUAAUAUUUAAUAAAUAUAAAUAUUAGUUAAUUAUAAAAAUAACUUAACUUUUUAAUUAGUUAGUAAAUUAUUUUAUUUAAAUAAUUAGUUAAAAAUUUAAUAGAUUAAUUAAAAUGUUAAUAGUUAAUCAAUAUAAUCAUUGGUUAUUGAAUAAAUUGAUUAAAAUAUCAAUCUAUAAUUAGUUUAUUAAUGAUAAAUAACAAAUAAUUAAUUAUUUUACUUUUUAAGCAAUAAAUAAUAACUUACAUAUAUUAAUUAAAUUAAUUAAUAAUUAAUAUUGUAAUUAAAAUUAAGUUAAAUUUUAAUUAAUCUUGUUCCUAUUUUGAAACAAGCUUGUUUCAGAGGAAGGGAGCCAGGAGCCAGAGGGUAGGGUAGAACAACUCAACAAGCUUGUUUCGAAGGAGGAGAGUCAGGGGGUUGUGUCAGAUUCACUACAAUAAAAUAUGUUUUAGAUGACUCUCUAUUUUAGCUUCUCUAAUAUUUGGUACGUGUCUACAUUAUAAUUAAAUGUCGACAAUAAAUAUAUUUUUAUCAGAUAAAAAUUUUUCGACGCUUUACUAAAGUGUCGGUAUAUUUAUCCCGACAUGCAUGUUUACUUAAUGAUUAUUUACCCGAUAUUUUUAUAAGAGUCAAAAUUAUUCUUACUAAUAUUUUAAAUCAUCGUUAAUUAUUAUUCAAAAUAUCUUUAAAUAAAAAAACUUAUUAUAGUAGUUAUACCAAUUUAUUCUAAAUAUGGGAAAAUUACUAUCGUCGUGUAUUAAAAAUAUCGUUUGAGAAAAAAAAAAAACAAAAAAACUUAUUCUUUUCUUUGUUACUAAGCCAAACGCUACUACGGGAGAAAUUCUACACUGUUAUGCACACUUGCACCACAUUAUUAAUAAUAAACUAAUCUUUUUUUUUUUCAAAUAAAAGUAUAAUAAAAACAUCUUUUUAUAAUUAUAAUAAAAUAUAUAUUUCUAAAAAAAAUAUUUAAUUAAUUUGUUAUGCGAUGUCACCAAUAUAUCCGUUACAUUGAAUUUUUCCUACUACGGGGUUGUGCAAUUUUUAAUUUUUUUGUGGAAUCAACAAAAAUAUUGUACGUAUGGUUUGCUCGCGUCCAUAGGGAAAGGACGAGGGCCGAGGGGGGUGUUGUCGAUCGCCGCUGCUAUGCCAUCAAAUCAAGAUCAAAUCAAAUCUUUUUUUUCUUUUUUUUUAUUAUUAUUAUCAUUUUUUUAUUGUUGAGAUUCUCUUCACCCACCUGCAGGCCGUCUUUUCAAACCCUAAAGCCUCUCUCUCUCUCUCUCUCUCUCUUUUUCUUUCUCUUUAGUAGUUGUCACCACCAUUAUUUACAACAAUUGCAAUGCUACUUCUCUCUCUCUCUCUCUACAUGUCCAAUCAAUUAAGGGGAAAAGGAAAAGAAAACUAGUGAAUGGGACUUUUCCAACCGGGCCAACAACAGCUUUGUGUUUGGUGUUUGAGGACGAAAGGGUCAUGAUCCAUCACGCCAUGAGUGCAAGGCGAGAGAUAGGAGAAGCCCUAAUCCAUGGCAUGAACCCUGGUCUGUAGACCAACUUGUCUACGUACUAAUAAAAGCCUUAUAAAUGUAAAAGAUGCGCAUAUUUGUUAAAUAUAAAAUUAUAUAAAUACUAUUUUAUAACAGUUUAAGCUUUUAAAAUAUAACUAUUAUUUCACUUGGUAUUAGAGCGGGGGUCCUGAGUUCAAGUCAUGUCAGGCACCAACAUAAUUAAUUUUCUUCUAUUUAAUUCAAGUCCACGUCACAAACUUUACAAAAAAUCUCGAGCCCUUGCAACGGUUGUUUCACCAUAUUUAUAAUACAAUAUGUAGAAAUUUGAUGGUCAAAAUUACAUUAAAAACAGCAAAUAAAAUGGCUUUGCCUUUUAGUAAACUAGAUAUUAAAAAAGUGGUUUCUUUUAUAUAUACACAAAAAUAAUUUACACACGAGUAUAUAUACUAAACAUAAAUUAUAAUUAUUUAUAGUAUUAAAAAGGUCUCAAAGUGUGUAUAGAUGACUCGGCGUAAUCGAUUCAUGUAUUAACUUAGUUCUCGUAUGUUUUUCUAUUGAAAAUUAUAAUUUUUUAAUAUUUUUUUGUAUGUGGUUAAUAGUGUUGAUUUCUACAACAAGAAAAUAUAUGGACGACAGAUUUUUUUAAAAAAGCUAAGACUAUCAUAUGUAAAUUAUCUAGUGGUUAUUAGUUAUUAACAUAUUAAGCAUGAGUUUUGUAACUAUUUAUAAUUAAGCUGUUAAAAUUAAUAAUAGUUAUUAUAUUUUACUCUAGUUGAUAAGAUUAGAAAUUUUGGAGGCCCCGGUCUACAGGAGGAAUUCUAUACUGUCACACUUGCACCACGUCAUCAAAAACAAGCCAAUCACAUUCCUUCUUUUCAAAUAAAAAUACAAUAAAAAUACUUUUUUACAAUCAUGAUGGGACAUAUAUUUUUAAAAAAAUUAAUUUGAUUGGUUUAUUACGCCACGUCACUAAUAUACUCGUUGGAUUCUAGAAUUUUUCGGUCUACAGACCCUGGUCUAUGGUCUAUGCAGAACAUUUUAUGCUCCCACGUACUGUGUCCUCCACGUGGUUUGUGAAUCCGAGCUCGAUUUAGGGCUUUGUUUAGUGUCAACGCGCUCAAACAGAGGAUGGCUAAUGAGUUGAUUGGUUCCCUUGGUUGGUCGAACGUAGGGUUCUUUGGACAUGCUCCCCACGUGUAGUGUUGGUUUUAUUGCAAAUUGAGUGGUUUUAUUAUAAUAAUAAUAGUAAUAUAAAUGGCUUUUUAGUUUAUUAUAUAUAUAUAUUAAUAUAUUAAAUUAUAAUAAAUAAAUAAAUAUAAUAAAACUGCAGUUGGAAGUGACGUGGAGCCACCACGUACACUUAGAUUUGUGGGAUUUUUUUUUUCUUUUUUGGAUAAAUUACCCUAAUAAUAACUCUCAACCUUUUUAAAAUUUUUAAUUGAUUCUAUAUAUAUAUAUAUAUUUUUUGUCAACUCAGUCUUUAAUCUGUAAUUUUUUUUUUACUCUUCAGUUAUAAUUAAUACAAGUCGACUGGGGAAUGCUGACGCGGUACUGAAUUAAUUAUAACAUAAUUAAUUUUUUGAAUUAAUAGCACAAUUUAAGAAAUUAUAAUUUUUUGUCAAUUUAAGAAAUUAUAAUUUUUUAUACCUAAAAAAUGAUUAACAAAUUCAAUGGUUCUGUUAAUUUAUAAUUUAACAUUUAAUUGAUCUCAUUUUAUUUAGUAAAAAAUAAUUAAAUUUUUCACAUUUAAUAAAAUCAUCCACAAAUUUUAGCUAAAAUCUCUUUUUUAUUUCUAUCAUUUUAAAUCCAAAAAUAUAAAAGGUAAAAAUGUCUCAAUUAAAAAAAAACAACGUUAAUUGUACAUCAAAAAUGAAAUAUAAAUUUUACACCGUCUUAUCUAAGGAAAAAUUCUAGAAUGCAACGGGUAUAUUAGUGACGUGGCGUAACAAACCAAUCAAAUUAAUCCUUUUAAGAAUAUAUAUCCCAUCAUGAUUGUAAAAAAGUAUUUUUAUUGUAUUUUUGUUUGAAAAGAAGGAAUGUGAUUGGCUUGUUAUUGAUGACGUGGUGCAAGUGUGACAAUGUAGAAUUUCUCCUUAUCUAAGACUCUAUAU
rnacentral:lncRNA from 1 species